GUCGUUGGAUCUCUUUCCACUUUAAUGAAUUGCUCCAGCCCUCCUUUGUCUGGAACUCCAACCCUUAACUUCUUCCCACUUGUGGGUAUUUCCCAGCCUCUCGGAACAAUAGUAGAUUCACCAGGCCAAAUGAUGACCCCUAGUUGCUUAUUAUUAGUUUUAGCUGUUUUACCAUUCAUCUUCAGUUUAUGCGAAAUGCCAUCCUUCUCUGUCCAGAAUCCAACGACUUUCUCUCCUUUCCCGAUUAUAUUCACAAUCUGAUAUGGGUACGGCUGCAGUUCUCUAUCAAUGAUACGGAAAUCACCACUUAGUCCUGGUUUUAGCUCUGUGUUUUGCAUAGAGUCAAUGAGCAGAGAUCCCACUUCUGAGGUUCUAAGUGCAUCUAGGUCUGUUAAGUUCUCUCUAGUGUCUGGUUUCUUUAAUUUUGGGAUAGCAGUAGUGCCCACUUUCUCUACUGCUUCUGCUAAUAAGGUGAUGCUAUCAUAUGCCCAUAGCCCGAAAACAUUGAGUUCUACUUGGUCCAUGUCUGGAUACUCUUGACGAAAUCUCUUUCUCCAUCUCUUGGUGAACAUGUCAAGCUCAUUUGAUCUUGUAACAUAAGAUUUUACACCCAGAACACCUUGCAUUGAUGACUCAAUUACUGAAGUAUCUACCAGGUUCCAUAGGGGCUUUCCUCAUAGAUUACUACAACCUCCCUCCAAUUAUAGUUUUUAACAAUUGCUGCAAUGGCUUUAGUCUGACUGGAAGAAGGAAGUGCUCCUCUGAUGAAGAAGGGAUUUUCCUUGACUGUAAGUAAAGGACUUGUUGCUGGAGAAAUUAUAGGGACUUUUACUCUGUUCCCUAAGUCGAUCACAAAAUCAGUUUGAGUAGACAUUUGUGGCCCAAAGAUAGCUUGCACUUGGACAUCCUUUAGCAAGUAUAUGGCUGCACAUACACAAUCAGACUUAUAAGUAAUUGUCUGAACAUCUNNNNNNNNNNNNNAAAUUUAUUUGUGAAAUUUGCAUAAAUAGCAAUCUUUUUUAUUUUAAGAUGAGUGGAACUUUUUUUUUUUUUGGCUUUUUCUAAUUGUUAAUCUUAUAUAUUUUUUAAAUUUAUUUGUGAAAUUUGCAUAAAUAGCAAUCUUUUUUAUUUUAAGAUGAGUGGAACUUUUUUUUUUUUUGGCUUUUUCUAAUUGUUAAUCUUAUAUAUUUUUUAAAUUUAUUUGUGAAAUUUGCAUAAAUAGCAAUCUUUUUUAUUUUAAGAUGAGUGGAACUUCUUCUUUUUUUUUUUGCCUUUUCUAAUUGUUAAUCUUAUAUAUUUUUUAAUUUAUUUGUGAAAUUUGCAUAAAUAGCAAUCUUUUUUAUUUUAAGAUGAGUGGAACUUCUUCUUUUUUUUUUUGCCUUUUCUAAUUGUUAAUCUUAUAUAUUUUUUAAUUUAUUUGUGAAAUUUGCAUAAAUAGCAAUCUUUUUUAUUUUAAGAUGAGUGGAACUUCUCUUCUUUUUUUUUUUUUGCUUUUUCUAAUUGUUGAUCUUAUAUUUUUUUAAUUAAUUUUUAUUUGUGAGGUUUGCAUAAAUAGCCGAAGAGGUUCAAACCCACAACUCUAGCAUGGGAAAGCAUUCCCAAGACCCCUUCCUUACCACUAAGCCAUCAAUUAGUUUUGCUAAGGGGUUCACAAGUUAAUAUACAUAUAUAUUUAUUUAAUUUUUUAAUACAAGUAUAGAGUUUACAUAAAAGCUAUUGGGUUCGCCCGAACCCCCACUAAGAUAGGCAUAAAAGUAUCAAUACAUUUAUUUUUAUGAAGGUAAAUACCAUUAGAUGUAACUUUUCAAGAAUGAAAACAUGUAUUAAAACAAAACUGAAAAGAGUAAUAACAUAAGUGAGAAAAAAAGACAAGAAAUGUAGAGAGACAAGAGAGAGUUUUCUUAUUCUUCCAAGUAUAUUCAAGUGUUUUCCAAAUCUUCAAGUGCAUAAUACAAUCUCAAGACCUCUAUUUAUAUUGUUAUAAAAAGACAUACAAAGAGAUAACAAUAAACAUGAUAUUAAUUUUUGAGAAUGUAGGGAAGAUCAAGGGGUGUAGAAGAUAAAUGAGGAGAUGGUGAAGGUGUGAGUAUUAUUACAUAUAAUGGUGAAAUUACACCUUGAAGUUAUGGACAUCCACAUUAAUAUAAUAUAUUUACAACAAAACAUUAAUUACAUAUAAAUUAUAACUAAAUUAAAAAUGAUGAGAAAAACAUAAAAAUGCCCCCAAAAAAGGAGAAAAAAAUUAAAUAUGAAUAGAGAUCAUAGAGAGGUGUCACGUCACUUUGUCUAUAUCUAGCUUUAUUUUUAUUUUAUAUAUAUAUAUAUAUAUAUAUAUAAGAAUAGAGGUCAUAGCCUAUAUCUAGCUUUAUUAUAUAUAUAGAUUUUUCUUCAGUUUUUGUUGGUUUUCUCUUUUUAAAUUUAUUUAUGUAAUACGUAAUAAUAAUAAUAAUAAAAGAGCCUUAUUUUCCCCCAAUUUUCAUUGGUUUUUUCUUUUUUAAAAUUUAUUUAUGUAAAUAUAUUCUUUUUAAAAUUUAUUUAUGUAAUUUUAUUUUUUUUGGAAUAUUUUUAUAUCUAUUAUAUUUUUAAUAGCUCAAAAAAUAUUAAUUCAAUUGAAUGAAAAGAGAAAAUCGGGUUAUUUUAAUCAAAAUUGAACAAUUUGAGUUGAUUUGGGGCUUUCCGUCAAAUGAGGGGUAUAUAUGGUGAAAUUAGUAACGGUAGGGAAAAAACUAACUUCACUUUAACGGUAAAAGCAUAGUUUACCAAUAAAACAAAAUUAAGGGGUGUUUUUGACCCUUUUCCCUUAUCUUUUUCAUAGGUAGCAGUGGAUACUGGAUACAUUUGUUAAAGUCAUAUACUCAAUAAUAUAGUAAUUUUUGUUUAUAUUUUUUAUGAACUAAUGAAAUUGCAAGAAUUAUCACUUAAUAAGCGAGUUUUCAAUUUUUGUUCUUCAACGGUCGAAUUUAUAUCUAGUAAAAUAUAUAUUCUGUAAAGGAGAAAAGUCAUGUAAGGCAUAAGUUGCGGAUAUUAUAAUGCAAGUAUGUAUAUAUAUAUAUCAGAAAAUAAUUUAUCUUGAACACAAAAAUUAAAAAUUAGCACAAAAUAAGGACAAAAGUGCAAUAUUUGUAUAUAUAUGUGUUAUCUGAAAGUUAUUUAUCUUGAACACAAAAAUUAAAAAUUAGCACAAAAUAAGGACAUAAGUGCAAUAUAUGUAUAUAUAUGUGUUAUCAGAAAGUUAUUUAUCUCGAACACAAAAACUAAAAAUUAGCACAAAAUAAGGUCAAAAGUGCAAAAAUUUUAUACUUUCGCUCUCCCGACUCAAGCUAAUACGUUAAAAAUUAAUGGAAAAAUUAUACAAAAUAGUAAAUAUUUAGCCUGUAUUAGGUGAUAUAGCUAUAGUUUUAGAAAAUUGUAAUUUGCGGCUAUAAUUUUUUCAAUUCUUGCUAUUGACCUGAUUUGUAUAAUUCGCAUAAUUUGUAUAAAUCUAGAAUUUGUAUAAUUCGGUUCCUGAUAGUAAAAAUCCAGAAUUUUGUAUAUGUUUACCCUAGUUAUUUGUAUACGAUUUAUUAUUUAUAAUAAAUUACCUUGUUUGUAUAUUGACAAGCGAAAUAUAUAAAUGGAGUUCUGAAAAAUUCAUAAAUGUAUAAUACAUAAUUUGUAUAUAUUUAUCCUAUUGGUAUAUUCGCAAGCGAAAUAUACAAACCACAGCCUCCAUAUCAAACAGAACUAUAGCUAUGGAGCGCAGUUAUUAGAGCUUUAUUAUGUUUGCUAUUUCUAAAAUUUUCUCAAAAUUAAAAUAGACUAUGUUUUUCGGUCUUAUUUCAAUAGGCUCAUAUGGUAUAUAAUUUGAAAGCCUAGGUUUUUUUUGUUUUUUUAUAUCAAUAUUCUUUCAACUUAGCCGAUUGACAAUUAAUUAAAUCGAUGACAAAACUAUUGAUUUCGUAAAUUUGAGUGAUGAAAAUCAAAUUAGAAAAGUAACUAACAAAUGAAAUAUUUUAUGUUAGUGAAUGAAUGAAAUUAUAGGCUUCUUAAUUACAAGAUUUGGAUAAUUUUCUUUCUUUUGAAUUAAUUUUUAAAGUGUGAGUUGUACUCAAAAUCUAAUUUAACAUGACAUUAAAGACAAACCUGAUGUGGGCUCCCAGGAAACCAAACAAUUGCGGAGGUGGAAAUUAUUUUCUAUUCAUGAAUGUGAGCAUGUGACACACCGAAUUGGAUCAUGAAAUCUCAUAUAAAGAAUUUGGAUUUGUACGGUAUAUAUGAGGAUAAUAAUGAAAGAAAUGUCUCACAUCAAUGAUAAAUAAAAUCCUAAGCUUCGUUGUUCAACAAGUGAAUUCAAAUUUUUAGAUUCUUUAAUAUCUUGAUGUUAAACUAAAAAAUAUUGGUUUAUAAUUACUCUUAAUUAUUUAAUUUUUUGUCGGUUUGCUUCACGGGUGAGCAUGUAUAAUUAAUUACUAGUGUACUUGUCCGCGCUUCGCGUGUGUAUAAGAAAAUAUUAAAUAUAUUUUUAAAUAAUUAAUGCCAUUAUUUGAUAAAUAUUCUUAUAAAUAAUAUAAUAAAAGGGAGAAAUACAAAUUAAGUUACGAUUCUGAUAUUAUCUAUUCAGAAAAAUUGUUAAAAAAGUUUCAUGCUACAGUUUCAAUUUAAAAUUGCUGAUAAAAAAGAUGAAAAUAUAAAAAUUGAUAUGAAAAGCUUUAGUUAAAUAAACAAUCUAAUUAUCAUAGUUUCAUACUAAAUUUCAUGAUUUUAUAGCAAUAUUAUUGAUUCAACCAUUAAUAUUAAAUCUACUUUAUCGUAAAUUAUGUGACUUUUCUUUUUUUGUAUAAAUGACUAUAUAAUAGAAACAAGAAAAUCAAAAUAUAUUUGUGCUAAAAUCAUCGUGAGGGAAAAAAUAUUUUGAAUUAUAUUCGAACAUAGUUAUACACAAAAUUCAAAAGUUAGAGAUUUUUUUUCGAUAUCCGAUGCUCAUUUUUUUUUUGAUAUCCGAUGCACGUAGUGACACUCAUUUGAUACAUAUUUGUGUCGCAUAAGAUCCAUUAAUAUUUUAAUUUAUAUUUAAACUUUCAUUCUUAUAGUGUGCAUUGUGAAAAGAGAUACUUAAGUUGCUACAGUGAAACAUUACCGUUGAGGUUAUACUUUUACAAUAAAAAUAAAAUAAAAUUAAACACAUAAUUUUGUCGUAUUAAGAUUAUCAGAUAGCGAUGAAGAAAUAUUUUUUUUUAAAAAAAAAUGAGUAUGUAGUGUUCAAGAUGUAGAAAAAGUAUCAAGAGUUAGAUAAAUUUUUUCAAUUUAUAUAUAUAUAUGGGACAAUAAAAGUUUAACAACAUCAAAAUAAUUAUUCCUAUUAUUACAAUAUUAUUGUUGUAAUUAUUAUAAAUAAAUUGGAGCAAUAACUCUCCAAAAGAUAACUCCAUUUUUUGUAUGUGGGAAAAUAAAAUAAUUUUUUUACUUUUCAAUAAUAAUAAAUUUUAAACACAAAUUUGUUAUUAAGAGAAUCAAAUGAUGAAAUUUAAAAAAUUUACUUGAUAAAUAAGAGAGUUGAAUAAAUUAUUUUUUAGUAUAUAUAUAUAUACACACACACUUGAUUAUUUUUAGGGAAAAGGGUCAAAAAUAUCCUCAAUUUUAGUUUAUUAGUUAAAUAUACCCCUAUCGUUGAAACAAAGUUAUUCAUACCAUCACCGUUACUAAUUUCUCCAUUUAUACCCCUCAAUUGACGGAAAUCCCUAAAUCAAACAAAAUUGACUCGAUUUCUUAAAAAAUGACUCAUUUUCCAUUUUAAAACCAUGUCCGACCCAUCUAUCUAUCUUAAACCCAAAAGAAUUUAACCCAUUUUCUAUACCCAUUCUAAAAAGAAAAUUCAUUUGGAGCUACUUCUCCAAUUGCGUUUUAGGUGACAAAAAAGUGUUGAAAUGUAAAAAGAGUGACUCUAGUUUUAAUUAUUAAGUGUAGGUGACAAAUUUUUAAUCAAUUUUUAACAAUAAUUAAAUAAGUCCUCAAGUUUUUGUUUUUACACUUUCAUUUUUUGGAGCAAUAAUUUUGUUNNNNNNNNNNNNNNNNNNNNNNNNNNNNNNNNNNNNNNNNNNNNNNNNNNNNNNNNNNNNNNNNNNNNNNNNNNNNNNNNNNNNNNNNNNNNNNNNNNNNNNUGACUUCAAAGACAUUGUCGAGCAGCACCUAAACACACAAAAAUCGAUCCGAUCUAAGCACUUUUAGACGAGUAUGAUGACUCUACUAAUGGAGGAAAGAGAAGAAGGAGAGUGGCAUCGUGGUCGGCCAUGGCCGUUUCCGAAGCAAACCGUUGUCGCCGGAGCUCGAAGCAGACAAUUGGAGAGAAUCAAAGACAUAUAUUUUACCCAAAUAAUUACAACAAAAAAAAUUAAACCAAUAAAAGAAAAUUCACAACCCCCACCCCCUGUAAUGUCUUCCUCAAAGAUCCUACUCAUUUGCAGAAACAUCUGCACACCCCAUCCUUCCCUCUAAUUUUUUUCUCCAAACUCUUCGAUUCGUUUUAGUGCGCACACACCUACACACUAUUUCUUUUUUCAUCAUUUUAGAGUAGUAUCUUUAUUCACUAUUAUUAGAAUUUAACUUUGUAAGGGAAUUGGUGAGAUAGGUAAAUGUGCUUCUCACAAAGAUGUCUGCUUUUUGCAGUCAUGAGAAGAGGCAGCGAUGAUGAUGUUCACUUUUUGAGUUAGCUGACUCUGGAAUUUGGGGAAAAUAAUUUAAAAGGAAGAGUAAAAAAAGUUUGUAGAAAUGGUGACUAAAGGGCAAGGAAAAUGAGUUAAAUUAUUUUGGGUUUAAGAUAGAUGGAUGGAUCAGGCAUGGGUUUAAAAUGGGGGAUGGGUCAUUUUUUAACAAAUCGGGUCAAGUUUGUUUGAUUUGGGGAUUUCUGUCAAUUGAGGGGUAUAAAUGGUGAAAUUAAUAACGACGAGGGUAUAAAUAACUUUGUUUUAACGGUAUGGGUAUAUUCAACUAAUAAACUAAAAUUGAGGGGUAUUUUUGACCCUUUUCCCAUAUUUUUAUAAUGCCUUUAUUUAUAGGAUAACAAUAUAAAAUAUCAAAUGAUAUCAUGAACAUGACUAUUAAUAUGAUUUAAGAGAUAUGAUCAAGUCAUGAAAGUAAGGAAAAUAAAGACAAUUAAAUAUCAAAUGAUAUUAUGAACAUAAUUAUUAAUAUAAUUUAGGAGUUAUGAUCAUCAAAAGUCAUGAAAAUAAAAACAAUUAAAAUUUUCUAUUAAAAAAUAUAAAUAAAUGAAGGAAUAUAAUUGACAUAUUCAGUUUUGUACAACAAUAAGAUAUAUAUAAAUAAGAAAAAUUAUCAAAAAAUGAGAAAAAAAGAAGAUAAAUAUGAUUCUUGGCCAAAAAAAUAUGUCACGUCACUUUUCUUUUAUCUAGAUAAUUUAUAUGUUGGUAAAAAAAGUAGAUUGAGAGAGAAAAACAAUUUUACUAAGUCGUUUAUAUCCUAAUCAAAUACUUUUGCAUUUUGAGUUCAGACCAGGUCAUAGCAGUAAUUUCUGAAAUUUCAAAAACUUAAGAACUUAUAACAAUAACAAUAAAAAAAAUUAAAAUAUGAAGAUCACAAAGUUACGUAUUAAUAGUUAAAAAAAAUUUAUGAAUUAAACUGUAUUUUGAAAAUUAAUUAACUUUAACAUUCUCAUAUUCUAUCAUUCAUCUAUUGGGCUAAAAAUACCCUUGAAGUAUUAGAAAAGGUCUAAAAAUACCCCUCCAUCCGCCUUUUUGGUCCAUCUCUAUCCUUAAAACUAACAGUCACUUUUAAAAAAAUUAUUAUUAUUAUUAUUUGUUACAUGUCAUUUUCUUAGUGGAUAAAUUAAAUCCCAGCCCAUUUAAUUUUCCCCUACCCACCCAUUGUAGUGAACAUGAUCAAACCCAAUUAGAAGACCCAUUAAAAAAUAAAUUGAUUGAGAUUUAAUUUAUCCAAUAGGAAAAUGACAUGUAAUAAAUAAUAAUAAUAAUAAUAAAAAAUUAAAAAGUGGUUGUUAGUUUUAAAGGUAGAGAUGGACCAAAAAAGUGGAUGGAGGGGUAUUUUUAGCCCAAUAGAUGAAUGAAUGGUAUUUUUAGACCUUUUCAAAUAAUUCAAGGGUAUUUUUGGCCCUUUUCUGUAAUUAAUAAAAAGUUGAUCCACAUAACUAUAAAAUUAUAUCUACAUACUUUCUUCAGUAGCAUACAUAUACAUGUAUAAGGGUGUAUAAAACCGAAUCGAAAACCUAACCAAACCGCAAACCGAGUCAACCCGGAAAAAAAACCCGAACUAGUGGUUUGGUUUUUGAAAAAAAAAACCCCGAACUAUAUUUGGGAUUGGUUUGGUUUUAACUAAAAAAAACCAACCCGACAUUAUAUAUAUAAUUUUAAAAUUUUAUUUUAUACAUAAAAAUAUUUACUUUGAUAUAAUUUUUAAAUAUUUCUUAUACUUUUUCAUAAUUUUUUAUCUUUUAUUAUAUUAUUUCAAGUUUUGAAACUUAGAAUUAUGAAUGGGCCAAUAAAAAUUAUAGUUCACAGAUGUUGGUAAUUGCCUAAUUAUAAUAAAGCUUAAAUCAAAAUUAAAUUAAUACUAAUGCAAAAAUAAAAUCAUUUCAACACGACAAUAAUAUUGAAUAUUUGUUCUUUAGUUUUACAUUGGUUUAGACAAUUAAAAUACAUAACCUAAUUUAAUUUCCUUUAAAUAUUUAGUCAUGUAACUAAUACUUAUUAAAUUUAUUUUUAGCAUGCUUUAGUACUUUUAAAUUAUGAUCAUUUUCAUUAUGACUUGUUAAUUUGCAAUAUUUGUUUUACACGAUUUCAUUAUUAUUAUUAUUUUUGUUGGAUAUUUUAGUGUCAUUAAUCAUAUUAUAUUGUAGUAUAUUUUUAAGAAACAUCUUAGAUAGUUGUAGUUUGGUAUGGCUAAAGAAAUAUUUGAAGUACAAGUAAAUUAUAUGUUUGUAUGAAUACUUUACCGAAACAACCCAAAAAACCGAAAAAACCUGAAAAACCCAAGGUUGAAAAACCCGAGUUUUAUUGGUUUGGUUUAUAAAUAUAAAAAUCCAACACAAAUGGUUUGGUUUGAUAUUUGAAAAACCCGAACCAACCCGACCAUGUACACCCCUAUACAUGUAUAUGUUAACUUCUUAUUCUACUUUGUUGAAUUAUAUCCUCAGCAUAAGUAGUGAAGACAAAACAAAGUAAUAAUAAAAUGACGGAAUGACCUGGGAGACCCAUGUACUUAGCUCCGUUUGUAAGUUGAACCCUCCUACUUAUCAAUUUGUCAACUGAACCCCUAAACCCAUCAGAACACAAUAUUUUAAACCCAUUUGACCAUUAACCGAACUUAUGUAGCAUUGAUAAUGCUGAGUUGGAAAAUUACGUAAUUACAUACGUUUGACAGUGAGUAAAUAAGGUAUUUUACAUUAAAAAUAUUUAAAUAAUAAUAAUCAAUUUAAAAAAAAUAAUUAAAAACCCAUCUUCCUCAACCAUCCCUCUCCAACCCCACUCCACCCCUCUCUCCUCCGUCCGAACCCAUAAACUCAUCAUAACACAAUAUUUUAAACCUCUUAGACCAUUGACUGAACUUAUGUAGCAUUGAUAAUGCUGAGUUGGGAAAUUACGUGAUUACAUGCGUUUGACAGCAAGUAAAUAAGGUAUUUUAAAUUAAAAAUAGAGUAAAGACAUAAAUACACCAUCAAAGUUGUCCCGUAUUUUCAUAAUGACACCUUAACUUUUAAAGUGUCCUAUCACACCACAGAACUAUUUAAUAUCUUUGUAAAUGGGCCAUUUUGACCCAUUCCCUCGUCUAUUUAGUGGCGCGUGUUGCUCACUCCCUAUGAUGAGAAAAGACCCGACCCGACCCUGUUCUUUGAAGAAAGUCAUUUCUCCUUUUCUUUUCUUAUUUCUCAACUUUCCCUAAAAUCUAAAGAAAUAGAAAAGUUUUCUCAACAACUUUAAGUAUGAGUGAAAUAGGUCUAAAAAUAGAGGAGAUUAGAUAAAGGAUUCAAUCCAAUUACUUUGGAAGUGGGUCCUGAAUCUUUGUUGCAUCAUUGCAGCUUCGAGGGAUCCUAAGUUUCCAUACACUAAGAACCAUUGAUUCUUAGGUGAAGUAAUACAAUGGCCGGUUUAAAACACGGGGCAAGAUCUAGUACAGGUGUAAGGGUUGAUUAACAUAUUAAGCAUGCAUGGAUUAAUACUUCUCUACACCGCAUAGAAUCUCAAUUUCCAGGAGCACACAACAUGAUGGAAGCGGAGCCCUCCCCAUUGGACAAAAUGAAAAAAUAAAUGUUAAUGCUGUUAUACCCCAUUUUAACUCGAGGUCAAAACGGUGUACGACAUUUUGGUGAUUUCCAAAUUAAUUAACUUAAGAAGUCGCCACCUAAUUAAUUACGGUGAAUUAGGACACCUAAAUAUUGAACUAAGUAAUACUAAAAUGACUUCAAUUAAAAGGUCUACUAAACUUAAGAUUCUAGGUAAGGGUUCUAAUUAUCCUAAAGGGAAGGGGUAAGGCAUCCUUUAAGAUCCAUUAAAGACGGUUACCGGCCAAACUUAGGUUAAUUAAUUUUAAAAGAAAGAUAUGAGUGUUAAAUAUUAAGUGAUUGAAUAACCAAGUUGGAAAACAUUUUUUACUUUAAAAGCACUUUUGCAAUUUAUUAGAAUGAAAAAGAUUUAAGAAAGAGUAAUUUCUUUAGAUCAAUUUAGACAAAUUCAUGGCUAAAAAAAGUAAUUAAAAAAAAAAAAAAAAAAAAAAAAGCAUUUGCUCAUUAACCGACAAGAUGCUCUCUUUAGAAAAAGUUUAAGAAAAAUAAGAGUUUAGAACAAUAUAUUUUUUCUUUGAAAGAUAUUGCCAAGUUUGAACAAAACUUAAUAAAUUAGUGAGUUUAAAAUGGUGCAAAAGAAGUGUUUUAAAAAAAAAAAGCUAAAGUAACUAUAAAGGUUGUUUCUAACUAAAGGUACCCAAACCCAAACAUCUAUAUUAAGUCAACUAUUAUGAAUCCGAACUAGAAAUAUAUAAAUCACACAAGCAAGUAUAAAUUGAAAGAAAACACAAACAAAUAAUGCAAAAUGUAAGUAGCGAUAGGUGACUCCAAGAUAGGACCACUUGUUUUGCUUGCAAUUUCGAAUGGUCAAAGAUGUAGUGAAGAUUCCAUGUGCGGGUGUGAGGAUAAUGUUGAGUCUAUGAGACUCGGUAAUUUGCUAGAGUCUUGAAUCAAAGACUCCAUUUUGCUCCAAAGUGUACAUGUAAAUAAAGAGAGGGUAAAAAAGAAUUGGUAAGACAAUUAAACCUUACUCGAUAUCGAAUAAACUAGAAAUAGAAUUGAGUUAAAUAGCAUAACGAAAAUACCAUCCAAAACAUGAAAACAUGCAAAUGCGAAACAAAUCUCAAAGCAAACUACUACGACGCCUUUAAGGCACAAAAAAAAACAAUACACAACCCCUCAUAUUUAAGCUACAAACGAACUACUCGUUAAAGACUUGAAUUUAAAAAAAAUACUUAUGCCAUAAGUUUUCCAGAUUUAUACAUGCUGUAAUACUAUUACUUAAACUAAAAAAAAUAAAAACAAAAUACAUACACAAUACAAUUAACAAAAGAGCACAAAACAUAAGUUAGUACUUGUAUGCAAAAAGUAAGUUGCACGAGAAUUCCUACAGACGUAACUCUUAAUAAGAGAGCACUUAGUUGCUAACCAUUUUUUAUAUAUUUUACAGUCAUCUUCCUUAAGCAUGCUAUACAUAGGAAAAUAUGAACAUUGAAAUUUUAACAUAUAAGCACACGAAAUAAAUCAUUUAAACUGAGAACGAAACAGCAACAACACAACCCAUAUAAAUCGAACUAUGAGACUAAGUCAUUAACAAAAUAUUUAAAUCCAAAGCUAAGCCAUUCUUUAAACUCAAGGUCUAGUAAAUGAGGGGAAAACAAUUUCUGAUCUGUAUAAAUCUCAAAAGGAUACAAACACAUUUUUUAACAAUCAACAUAUAAUAAUAGCGAACUAAAUAAUAUUAGUUCGAGUAGAAUUUGAGAGAAACUUAAAAGCUUAUAAGAUACAGGGUGCGAAGCUGCUGUAGUGUAUCCGCGAUUAGAGCUUAUAUUUUUUUAAAAAAAUAAUGAUAUGGUCUGUACCAUAUUUUAACUAAAACAAAACAAAUAUUAUAUUCCUUGAACACGUUUUUACAUAGGAAUGCAUACAUAUAUCAAAUGAUCAGAACUUGGAGUAAGAAUUAAUGUAUAUGACCUAAAAUACAACCAUUUCCAUGUAAUAAAUAAAUUUAUAUCUCAAACGAAAACACAAAUACAAUUAUCAAAUAACUUUGAAUACAGUUAAACUAGGCAGGAAUUACUCUCUACAUACAAAUUUGUUAGAGUAACAUAACAUUUUCCCACAGAAACAAAACAGAGGAAGAAAAAGAGAAUGUCACCUGCUAUAGGGCAGUGAACGGGGCUGUUUCGAUCAAAUGUCUAUAUUCGAACAAUAACGAACUCAAGGAAGCUUGAAACUUGAGUUUCGAUCGAGAUUUAAAGAAGGAUGCAAAGACAAUAUUUUAGAAAAGAAAAUAGUAGUUAAACAAUGCUAUGGUGCAAGGAAAAGCUUUUUAAGAAUGAAUGCCAAGGCUUCUAUGGAGGCUGAAAAAUCCUCUUUUUUUUUUUUGCUAAAGAUAUAAGGAUGUAUUUAUAGAAAAAAUUAGGGUUCUUCAUUGUGUUGAGCGGGAAUAGAUUUUGAACUUUCAAAUUAGUCAAAAAGUCUUCAAAUCCGACCGUUUGAAGCUUGAAACAGACAUCACGUGAUACCUUGGAGAAAGAGACAAGUUUUGCUUGGAAUGGACCAAGCAAAGUCUGUCCAUGGCUGAAGAGAAACGAAACUUUAGCCAAAAAUGGAGGAGAAAAGACAGACAUCGAGUAAAGAGAAAAGACCUAAAUGAUUUCGGGUCUUGAGCCAUUUUACUGAUGAAUGAACAUUGGGUUGGGCUGGUGCUAAAUUUUCUUUUGUGGGCUGAUCUGAAAGUUCCGUUGGGCCAUAUUUUGGAGUGGAUUUGGGCUCGUUUUGCUGGACCAAUUUUGGGCUGAAUUUUGAAGGUCUUUUCUCUUCUUUCUUUGUAUUAUUUUGGGCUUCUAAAUUAAUAAUUAAUACAAUAUCUAUUAUGAUAUGAUAACAACUAGAAAUUUACAUAAUAAAAAUAUCACUAAUAUAAAAUAUAUAUACGAAAUAUUAAAUAAUAAUUAAUUUAAUAAAUACGAAACUAGAAAUAAGAUGACGACAAUUGGUUAUUUAAGAAAAGAGAUGUAAAAAAGUGAUAAUAAUCAUUUCGAUAAUAAAAACCUAUAAUUUUAGUAGAUUAAUAGUUGUAAUAGUAAAAAUAGUUGUGAAAAGAGAUAAUUCGAUACAUUAUUAAUUUAGAAGCUUGAAAAUGAUAAAUUAGAAGAAAGGAGGGUCAAAAUUGGGUGUCAACAAUGUUCCCUUUGUUGUUUUCCUAAUAUUGGUAGUUGAGAUAUUGUUAGGAUAUUAUAGUUUUUCGUUGUUACAGGUUGAUCUUGCUUGGAAAAAACCAUGAAAUCAAAAAAUUAGGGCUAUUUUGGGUUUAAAAUUGGGGAAGAUGACAUAAAUUGAUUAUAUAAUUAAUAAUAAAGAAAGCUAAUGACACGUGGCACUUUUAAAUUGGUCCAUGGCAGUGAAAGCACGGAAUGACGCGCCUCACGUGCAUGGUAACAACCCAGACGAGGGAAUGGGUCAAAAUGGCCCAUUUACAAUGAUAUUAAAUAGUUCUGUGGGGUGAUAGGACACUUUGAAAGUUAAGAUGUCUUUAUGCAAAUACGGGACAACUUUGAUUGUGUCUUUAUGUCUUUUCUCUUAAAAAUAUUUAAAUAAUAAUAAUCAAUUUUAAAAAAUAAUUAAAAACCCAUCUUCCUCAACCAUCCCCCUCCCACCCCUCUCUCCUCCGUCUGAACCCCUAAACUCAUCAAAAUACAAUAUUUUAAAUCUCUUUGACCAUUGACCGAACUUAUGUAGCAUUGAUAAUGCAGAGUUGGAAAAUUACGUGAUUACACGCUUUGACAACGAGUAAAUAAGGUAUUUUAAAUUAAAAAUAUUUAAAUAAUAAUAAUCAAUUUUAAAAAAAUAAUUAAAACCCAUCUUUCUCAACCAUCCCUCUCCCAUCCUACCCCACCCCUCUCUCCUUCGUCUGAACCCCUAAACUCAUCAGAACACAAUAUUUUAAACCCCUUUGACCAUUGACCGAACUUAUGUAGCAUUGAUAAUGUUGAGUUGGAAAAUUACGUGAUUACACACGUUUGACAGAGUAAAUAAGAUAUUUUACAUUAAAAAUAUUUAAAUAAUAAUAAUCAAUUUAAAAAGGAUAAUUAAAAAUGCAUCUUCCUCAACCAUCCCUCUCCCACACCACCCUACCCCUCUCUCCUCCGUCCGAACCCCUAAACUCAUCAGAACACAAUAUUUUAAACGCCCUUGACCAUUGACCGAACUUAUGUAGCAUUGAUAAUGUUGAGUUGGAUAAUUAUGUGAUUACACGCGUUGUCAGCGAGUAAUAAGGUAUUUUACAUUAAAAUUAUUUAAAUAAUAAUAAUCAAUUUUAAAAAAUAAUAAUUAAAAACCCAUCUUCCUCAACCAUCCCUCUCCCACCCCACCCCUCUCUCCUCCUAUUUGUUUUUUUUUUUCUAAAAAAAAUUUUGGGCUUUGCCCGAGGAGAUGUAUGGGGUGCAAUUGUCUCUCUUUCAAGUUUAUUAAUAAAAAAAAAUACCACAAUUGUUUUAAAAAAAAAAAAAAAACACCACCCCUCUAUCCUCCGUACCCCCCCCCCUCCCCGCCUCUCCUCUUCUUCUUCUUCUCUUGGAAUUUCAUCCACCACACUCACUCUCCUUCAUCCACCUCCUUCUUAACCCACACUUCUUUUUCAUUACAAAUCAACCGUCCACCCUAACCACUUAGUCUAAAAGUCUUUUAGAUUCUAGCUUUUUAGUCUAAAAGUAUUGAGAUAUUAUUAGUUUUAUUUGGCAUCAAAAAAGAGGUCUAAGUAUGGAUUAACACGAAAGAUAAUGGUGGAUAUUGAAAAAUUAAAACUCCAUUGAUAAGUUAGAGAAAGCUUGAAAUUUAUAAGAUAUAUUAGAACUAUAUAAAAAAAAAUAUCACAUAUACCAAUCAAUUGUGUAUACUACAAACAAUUAUACUUCUCUUUCAAAAUUUAGUUACUCAAUAUUACUUGCAAGUUUUAGUAGCAUCUAUAUCAUUUAAUUUUUUUGUACUAAUUAACACAGGACACACAUGCAACGCACGUGCCUAGAGACUAGUUUAUAUAUGUACAUAAACUUAGAAAAUAUAUCCAAUAUAUACAUCUUAAUUUUUUGUCGAGGGGGUUCGGGUGAACACUCUCCCUCCCUUGAUUGGCUCAUUGAUACUAUUAUUGUUAGUGCAAGAGGAAACUGCUAGGGAAGUUGCCUCUGAUAUAUGUUGGAGCAGAUGGGAUAUAAGAUUUUGAUUUGAUGGGUUCAAUUUUUAGGUUCUUAUCAUUGAGCCCGUUAUACUUUGAAAUUAUGGGUUCAUAUUCUAUUAUUAAUUAAAAUUUUAGUGAUUUUUCACAUAUACUUUUAUGAUCUGUGUCGAAAAUGCAAAUCUUAUACUUAUAUUCGCCAUCCGCCCUGUGUAACUGAACAUAUUACUGUUUGUCUUCCAUGUAACAGUGAUCCUAAAACCAUUCCUUAUUUAUGAUCUGUAACUAUGGUCGUUAUCUGCUAAUAGCUUCGGAUGUUCUUGUCCUCUAGGCUAGUUCUUGGACCUGCAUUAUAAAUUCACUACUACUAUAUCUUUCUUUCUUAUUGCAUUUGGGAUUUGCAGAUUGCUCUUUGUUAUCAAAACAUUGCACAAAUCUCUCAUGUGGUCAUUCACAUAUAACCCCAUUAUUUCAUAUUCUAUAUAAGAAUUAUGUAAUCAAAAAUAAUUUAGCAUCUUAUUUGUAGAUUUUGUUCUGUUAUUGUAACAUAACAAAACUACCUCAUUUGAAUUUCUUGAAAACGGAUGCAUGUAUUGAAUUCUUUCAUGCCACACAUAUUUCUUUAAAUUAUUCCAAACAUAAGUACAACAACAACAACAUAAGUAGUGAUGAAAAAACAAAGUGAACAUAAAAUUGCUAAAGAAACAACUAAGAAAAAGUAAGGGUUGAAUCCAUCUAAUGGAAUCCUGGAGGCCACCUCUUGAUGCUAAUACAAAGCGCUUUCAAUGGUGAUGAAAGAGGAUUAUGGCCAAGAGUGACAAAGAAAUAGUGUAAUCGGAUUUAACUAACCCUAAAGCUAGCUCAUCUCUGUACAAUCUCUUGUAGGGCCCUAUUCAGGUGUGCCACAAUUAUGUUAGCAGCUAUAUAUCUCAUCUUUCUUCAAUUGUGCCUGACAUUGUUUCAUGAACUGGAGUUCCAGGUUCUGUUGUAGAGAACCCUUCAGAAGCAGGGGAUUCUCCUAGGCCAUCGGAGAUUCCGAUUUCUGGGCUUUCCAAAGGUAGGUUGGGCGAUAAUUCAAUAGAAGCAUCACUUUCUGCAAACACUGUAGCCGUUAGGCUUUCAUUCCCUUCAGAUGGCUUUUUUGACAUAGAAUUAGAGUCGUCUCUCUUUAAAUCAAAGACUUUUGCUAUUGCACAAAGCUUUUUUCCUAUUGAAUCAUCAGUGACUAAGAUUUCUCUAUUCUGAUAAAGGAAGAUGAGGAAGAAUAGGAGAAGAGAGGAGCCUGCUGACACACCAUCUUGCUUUGGACAAUCUGUUUCAAUAUCUUUCUGUGGACAAUCUGUUUCAUUCCCAAACCAUUUCUGAAUUAUGUUAUUCAUAGUCUCUCCCUCUAUCACCUUCAAGACUGCUCUUGAGACGUCAGGUACCAAAGGAGAUCCUUUUGGAAAUGCCUGCAACAAGUUGUGGGAAAAUUAAAGAUUAGAUCAUUGAGUAAACCACUAACCACUCUAAAACAAAUGUUAACACUUGCUGAAACAUCAGUUAAGUACAACAAUCUUACAAAUCCAAAGCCGGCAGCCUUGUAUGUCGGACCAACCAUAAUAUACUUCCUGCAGUAUUUGUUCAGCAAGAGUCUGAGAUAAGGUAGUUCAUCAACAAUUGCACCAACACCUCCAUUUUUACUACCUCUUGAGAGUGCAUCAUUAUACUCUUCCAAUGUGCUGUAACUCCUAAAUUUGGAGCUGUCAAAUUUCAUGCGUGUCAAGACGUCUUUGACAAAGGAACCUUUUUUAUCAGCACAAAUCUUGAUAAGUUACUUGUUAUCUUCUCUUCUGCAACAACCAGUCAUAUAUAGGAUUUGUUGAGAAACAAGGAGAAAUCUUAAACUUUUGGUCUAUAAUUUGAUUUGAGUUAGAGACUUACUAUGAGCAAAAACGAGAGUUGAGAAGGAAAACCAAAAUAUUAUCCCAACUUGCUUGCGUUUGGGUCCUCGAAAAUCUUUGUUUACACGAUGUUCGAGUACCCAAACCACAAAACCAAUGAAGACGAAGAAUGCUCCGGUUGCUAUCCACAGCUCGGCCUUUAAAGGUUUCAAGAAGAUCCAAGCGUUCUUCCUAUCAUCAUUCCUUAAAGGCACAACUGCAGAAAUACCCGACUCUGAAUAAGGUAAUGUGAAAUCUACAUACUCAGAUCGGCUUGCUAAAAUGGUAACAUCACCUACAACUGCAUCAUAUUCCUGGUUCAAGCAAACAUUGAUUAUUUAAGUAUUUAUUGUUGGUCGCUAAAGCAGAACAUAGAUAAGAAGUCCAAAAAAGGAGCAUGUAAGUGAGUUAUUCAGCUGAAGAGGUUAAUUUUACCUUAGAAGUGAUCUUCUGAACAAGAUCAUCAUAGUUUUAAGAAGUAGGGCUAUGUGCUAUUGGAAAUAGAAUAAAUUCGUAGGGGACAGCAUAUGGCAAAGAUAGGAUGACUUCUUUGAAGACAUCUGGAACAAAACCAGUUACAAUUACUUCUUGUGUCGUUGGAUUUGUUUCCACUUGAAUGAAUUGCUCCAGCCCGUCAGGAACUCCGACCCUUAACUUCUUCCCACUUGUGGGUAUUUCCCAGCCUCUCGGAACAAUAGUAGAUUCACCAGGCCAAAUGAUGACCCCUAGUUGCUUAUUAUUAGUUUUAGCUGUUUUACCAUUCAUCUUGAGUUUAUGCGAAAUGCCAUCCUUCUCUGUCCAGAAUCCAACGAUUUUCUCUCCUUUCCCAAUUAUAUUCACAAUCUGAUAUGGGGACGGCUGCAGUUCUCUAUCAACGAUACGGAAAUCACCACUUAGUCCUGGUUUUAGCUCUGUGUUUUGCAUAGAGUCAAUGAGCAGAGAUCCCACUUCUGAGGUUCCAAGUGCAUCUAGGUCUGUUAAGUUCUCUCUAGUGUCUGGUUCUUAAUUUUGGGAUAGCAGUAGUGCCCACUUUCUCUACUGCUUCUGCUAAUAAGGUGAUGCUAUCAUAUGCCAUAGCCCGAAAACAUUGAGUUCUACUUGGUCCAUGUCUGGAUAUUCUUGACGAAAUCUCUUUCUCCAUCUCUUGGUGAACAUGUCAAGCGCAUUUGGAGUCCAGAAAACUCGUUAGCACAUCUGUGAUGAUCCAUGCAUAUCCACUGCUCAUCAUCCCAGCUUCUUUGGCCUUGAGGAAAAGGCGUGAGGCAAGAUAUGGUUGUAAGUGCACAAUGAACACUGUGGUUUGCUUUGUAUUCAAAUUGUGUAACUCCUUGAGGAUUUGAUCAUCACUGGCUGAAGGAGAAAUAGCACUUUUAUAGGGGACUAAAGUGUUGAUUUCCAGUAAGGCAUCAGUCAGAUGUGGAACUAUCCCAGUUCCAAUGGAGCUAUCCUCGUGGAUGAUUACAACCUUCGUCCAAUUAUAGUUUUUAACAAUUGCUGCAAUGGCUUUAGUCUGGCUGGAAGAAGGAAGUGCUCCUCUGAUGAAGAAGGGAUUUUCCUUGACUGUAAGUAAAGGACUUGUUGCUGGAGAAAUGAUAGGGACUUUUGUUCUGUUCCCUAUGUCAAUCACAAAAUCAGUUUGUGUAGACAUUUGUGGCCCAAAGAUAGCUUGUACUUGGACAUCCUUUAGCAAGUAUAUGGCUGCGUAUACACAAUCAGACUAUAAGAAAUCGUUCCAAAGUGAAAAACAGACGAAAAGAGAGAAUGAUAUGCUAGUUUAACAGAAGUAAAUCAUGGAUCAGAAUAUACCAGCGGAUGCUGCUUCAACAUCAUCUUUCUUUGAAUCCCUGAUAUGAGGAACUAUCCUUAUGGCACCGCGACUAGUGUUGGCAUGAUAAUCUGCAAGAGCUAGUAAGAUAGAUAUGUGCAUUACUUUUCCCACAUCUGUUUCCAGAUCAAGAAUUAUGCCCACAUCCACCUUUACAGCACUAGUGUUAUUAUCUUCACCUCUUAUUCCAAUUACAUAGUGGCAAAAGCUAAUGAUGGAAACAAGUUGAAUGAAAAUAAUUAGGAAUUUGCAUCUUGGAUUAUGCAUUUGAAAAACUCUUGUAGAAAGUAAUAUGAGUGUUGGGCAAGAAGCAGUUGUGCUUGUGCAAGAUUUAUAACCACCAUUCAGAGAUGUGUUUAAAGGUAUCUUAACUAUAACUUUUCUACAAUUAAAUGAGAGCAAACCUCAUAACUGCAGAAAGAAAAGUCAAAGUUUUCAAAGAAUUACAAAUGGUUUAAAAUAUACUAGUUUGAUUAUUAAAGAAAGAGUACUUUGCACACUUGUUAGACCACAAGCUAGUAAAGCCUCCUCAGUUUUGACCAAAUCAAUAAAUGACUAAAUGAACAUAGUGACAAAAUUGAUUUGUACUCAUUCUCCCAAUACCCAAAGAAGUUUUUGUAUUCAUUGGAUGACUAUCUAGAGGCUACUAAAAGGACUUCCCAUAUUUUGGCUAAGUCAUGUUGAAAGUUGAGUGCUAACUCAGUUACAAAUAAGUAGAAGAGGUCAGUUUCUAUGACUUGGACAUUGGAAAAGGGCAGCUAUGACUAGUAAUCUUUAGUUUACUUAGACGGUUUCAGUUUAGAAUUGGUCAGUAGUAUAAAACUUUAUGGUGGUAGAGGCACAACUUGUAGGGUUGUUCCGGGUUAUCGUUAAUUAAAAAAUCAAAUCAAACUUGUAGGGUUGUUUGGUUAGGUUUUAAAUUUUGAAAAUCAAUACUAUUUGGUUUGGUUUGGUUUUAAAACUGUAAAAAUAAUCAAAUUGAACGUGUAAUUAUAAUAAUUCUAGUAUUGCUUGAUUGAAUCCACAGUAACUUUCAUGUGUAUUGUUCAUGUACUAGGUGUCUGUGUUUAUAUAUAUGUCUUCAAAAAAAUUAUUACUUCCAAAACAAAAAAACAAAAAAAUUGAACCAAACCGACAAUUAUUUUUUUCAUUUGGUUUUAGAAUUUAGAAACCGACUAAAUUGAUCUGGCUUUGAUUUUAGCCAAUAAUCAAUCCAAAUUGAACCAUGAACACCUCUAGGCACAAAUAUAACUUGGUAUGUGAAGAAUUACUAUAAUACCUUUCCUUUAACUUUUUUUUUUUAAAAAAAAAUCUCCAUCCUCCAUUUUUUUCCCUUCACUUUUAAAAAAAAAAAAAAAAACCUCUAUUGGGAAAUUUUUCAAAUCAGUUUUUUUUACUCAUGAGCUCUAUUCCUUUCCCUUUUAUAUUUUUUAUAAUAUAAAAUAUAAGAUAAAAUAAAGAAUUUUUUUAAAAAGAAAUGAGAAAAAAAAUGAUGAAGAUGAGGGGUGAGGAGCUAAAGGAGAGAAGAAAGAUAGAACAUAAGAUGAGAAAGGUAGGGUCCCCAUAUUUUCUUUAUCAAAAAGUAACUUCUUACCUACCAAAGUCAUAUUUAUGCCUCUACCACCACAAAUUUUUUCGUAUUAACUUGCUUGCAAGUUGCAAAACCAAACAAAGCAAGCAUACCCAAAUGGAGAUGGAAUCUUGGAAUGAGGAUGGUUGGGUAUACAUGUAGGUGUCAAUGUCAUUGUCUCAAUAUAUAUAUAUAUAUAUACUCCCUCCGUCCCAAUUUAUGUGGCACCCUUUUUUUUUAGUCUGUUCCAAAAAACAAUGUCAUCUUACUAUAAUUAGAAACAAGGGAAAAGACUCAAAUAUGCUAUUGAAAUUUGAGAAAAGACUCAUUUAUGUCAUCCGUUAAAAGUUUGGUUCAUCUAUGUCAUUUUCGUUUGAGAAAAAACUCAUCCAUACCAUUAGUUGUUAACUAAAAAUAAUUUUGGUUUUGUAAGAUCAUUUUAUACACAUGGUCAAUUAUGAUUCGGCCAUGUCAUCAAUUAAAUCAUUUCUAUAGAAGAGAAAAUGUUCAAAUAUGUCAUCGAACUUUGAGAAAAGACUCAUUUAUGACAUCCGUUAAAAGUUUGUCUCAUCUAUGCUAUUUCAGUUAAUAAAUAAUGGCAUGAAUGAGGUUUUUCUCAAAUGAAAAUGGCAUAGAUGAGCCAAUUUUUUAACGAAUGACAUAUAUGACAUUUCUCAAAGUUCGAUGGCAUAUUUGAGUUUUUUCCCUAUAAACAAUUUCACUUAAAAUUUACUGUUAUCCUUAAUGAAAUUAUUUACAAACACACAAAUAUCUAAGGAUUGUUUUAGAUCACAAGUUUAAAAGUCUUUUUAAAAUAUAUAUAUAUAUAUAUAUAUAUAUUGUGUCAAGUUAAACAGUGCCACAUAAAAUGAGACAGAGAGAGUAAUUGUUAAUGUAAGAGGAAGCUGCUCGGGAAGUUACGUGUAUGAUGUUGAAGUUAUUUGACAUGCAGUUGAGGUGAUCCUAUAAUCUUCCAUUAUUUAUGACUAGUAAAAUCACUGAAUUUAUAAAAUAAUACUUAAAACAUAUGAGUCAUUAAAACUAAAACACUAUAUUAUCUUACAUAUAAGAUUACAUAUAACAAACAUUAAUAAUGUAAGUAAUUUCUUUUUUGCAUAUGUUAACAAAUUUUUGAAUUUCUUCCUGAGACAUAUAUCACAAUUGUAAAAUCUAUACAACUUAAAUGUGUUCUUGUUCUUACGAAACGCCUUUGUGUAUAUAUAUUCUUAUUUAUUCUCUCUUUUUUCCUUUUAAUUGAUGAUUAAAUAACCAUUAAUUUAUUAUUUCCUAAAUAAUUCAUUUAUUAGAUGUUCUUGAGUUAUGUGAUAAUGACAAAUAAUAGUAUAGAUCUUUAAGGAAUUUUUUUACUGUACCUUCAACAAUUUCAUGAUCAGUAGAGAAAACUUGCAUGAAUACUCAAUUAACAUGUGUUGUUUAAUCUGUACUAACAAAUACAAUUAACGUGUGUUGUUUAAUCUGUACUAACAAAUACUUAUAACAAUAACUUUGCAGAAACAUAAACACAAGUUUAAAACAUGUACUCAAAAACAAUAAUUAAUAACAUAAGCAUAAAUUAAUGACUGUAAAAAAAUAUACCAGGAUCUGUAAUAAUAGGAUGAAACAUAAAGGAAAAAAUUGUACACGAAUAUUUAAUUGUGCAGGUUAAGAAGAAGUUCAAAAUUUUCGUUUUUUUAAAAUGAGAGGAAAUCACUCUAUUUAUAGCUAGACAACAAAGGGUAGUGUGAGCAAAUGUUUAUUGUGUCUUAUCGGAAAGGUCACAACUCUUUGGAAAAGUUACAAACCCUUUGGAAAGGUCAUAACCUUUCAUAAAAGACACAACUUUUCAUAAAAGUCGCAACUCUACAUAGAAGUUACAACUUUUCAUAAAAGUCGCAACUGUUCAUAUAAGUCGCAAUUUUUCAUAAAAGUCACAACUUUUCAUUAAAGUCGCAAAUUUUUAUAAAAGGGGAAGGAUAGUUUUGUAAAUAUAUUAAUUAAAAAAGGAAUCCUGGUUUGUGAUGGCGCCACGUAGGCAGGCCUAGGGUUCUCUUUUAUAUAUAUACUAGUUUCUGAACACGUGCGUUGCACGUGUUUCAAACAAGUAGUAUACACGAUAAAAGUUAUAUUAAAACCAUAGUGUAAUCAAUAACGAAAAAAAGGUACAAACUAAAAUUGAUGAACGUAACACUCAUCCAAUUUGAAUGACUUAUUCGUUUAGCGAUAAAUAAUUAAUUACUAUCAGAACUACAAAAUUGAAUAAUUAUAUUUAGUUAGAUAAGUAAAAUGUAUAAAAUGAGUCACAUUUUAAUGUUAUUAGGUGCAAAUAUUUUAUUUAUAAAGAAGUAUUAGUAUUAAAUAUUUGCACCUAAUAACAUUAAGUAUUAAAUUUCAAGACAUAAUAUUUGAAUAAUGAAUUGUGAUGCUCAUACCAAAUAGCAAAACAAUGAAUCUAGAAAAUACUUUUAAAACAAAAAAACUUAGAUAUGAUAUUUAAAAUAUUUAAAACUUCUUGUUAAAAUUUACAAAAACGCAAAUAAUAUAUGCUUAUUAAGAAUUUAAAACUAAUUGUUAUAAUCUUAACAAUUGUGCAUGGAAACAAAAGCACCCAAAACAAAUGAAAUUCCAAUACAUGUGAAAUCAAAGUAUUGUAAUUCUAAGUAACUAAAUAUGCCAUGCAUACUUCUCAUCUCUUCUUUUAUGCAAACUAUUAGAAGGCAUAAAAAAACAAUGAAAAUCGAAGAUAAAAUAAUUUGCAUUCAAUCUUAAAAAGUUACAAAGAGGAGAUGGGGAAAAUUAGUAAAACUCAUUUAACCUUUAUAUAAUGUUUUUCCCAGUCCUUUGAAAUUUCAUUUCAUUUAUUUACUAAUGAAUUGAUUUACUAAUUAAUAUUCAAUUCAACUUUUCAACUUCUUUGUACUUACUGUAGCAAUGAAAGGUUGGCUAUUGGUUAACGUAACAAUUAAAUAAUUGAACCACCAAUGUUUCAUAUAAAGUUAUGGUUAUUAUAAGUAUUAAAUGCAAACAUUUUCUUUUUAUUGUAUGAAAUGCGUGUAUUUGUAUUUUUAUAUUAUAAACUUUUUGAAAUAAUAGUUGCUUGAAGGUUAAAAUGAUGUUUAACUUUUAAUAGGCGAUUUGGUAAUUCAAUUUUUCAUUUGGAAAGUUUCUACUUGAUAUAAUAUGAUAAUGAUCAAAAAUUUAAUAUAAAAUGAAUAAAGCAAAGAAUAAACAGGGAAAGAAAGAAAGAUGAUUGUCAUCAAUCCCUAUUAAAUCAUUGAAUUAAGUGUGAUAAUUAAAGUAUUAUUACUCCACUUUCAAAUCAUCCGUUCAAUUCAUGUUAUUGAAAACUAAUUUAAUUGAAGAUUUAUUUUAAUUAUGGUGUAAAUAAAAAUUAGUUUAUAAAAAAUGAUUUAGUAUAAGGGCAAAAUGGUAAAUCAACUUUGAAGACAAGAGCUUCCCACUUUUAAUAAUACUAGAAGAAAAAUGUGAAUUACAUGGAGAUUUUUUUCUUGGAAUUAGUAUCAAAAUUCGCAGAUAACUUAUUUCCUGCAAAUUUUCAUAUUAAUCCCCAGGAAAAUCCCCAUGUAAUUCACCAUUUUCUUGUAGUGUUGUACCAAAUUAUAAUAAAAUAACAGUAAAGAAAAUAGGUUGUACCCUGCUUCUUGCACUUAACUUUAUCCCACGAACAAUAGACAGAAAGGUGUCAUAUAAUCCUUACAUAUCACUAUCAAACCAAAUUCUCCCAACUGACAUAUUCUCCCACAACAAUAUUAUAUUCCCUCAAGUCCAAUUUUCAUCAGUGACUCCGUUUCUAAUGUUUUCCAAUUCACUUUUUCGACCUCCUUUUCACUAUUCAUUAUAUAAUAAUUGAUAUGAAACAACCCACAAUGUAAACAAGAUUUAAGAGACGUGAUUGAUUUACUUGAGUCGCUCACGUUCUUCUUUCGUUCACGCCGCUUUCUGUUAUUCUUCUUUUCCGUUCUUUCCCUUUUCUUCUACAGAUUAUUUUCACCCUAAUUAUUAUAUGACUAAUUAUAAGAGUGGUGGAAUUGGCUCACUACUAGUUUUAAUGCUAUCUUCUUUAACCACCAACUACAUUAAUUAUUAAAACUACCCCACUAAUUUCAUAAUGUAAUUACGAAUAGUCCAAAAUACCCAUUUAGAAUCUAUCGAACGAGUCUUUUAUGAAAUAAAAAGAUCUAGUACUCAAAACGACUAAAUGGGUCGUUACACAAUGUAACUCUUUAACUUUCAAAAUGAUAGGAGGUGAAAAGGUGAAAACAUUUUCUUUUUCAAUGAAUACAUUCAUUAUACUAAUAAUUCACCAUUUAAUAAACUUCUACCUAAAAAUGUUUUUUAGCAUAAAACAUGUAGGAAGUAAUUUUAAACAGUAAAAGGUAAAGGGUUAAUUAGUUUCUCAUUUAAUUAAUUCGAUUCAUUUAUUAGUAUAGGUAAAUUUAUUAUUUAGUACCAAGUAGUAUAAGAAUAGUAUUAAGAUGAAGGGUAAAAAUGUAAUUUGAUUUUUUAGGAAUAUUUUGUAAUUCAAUUUUAUAAGUUUUGGGGCUUCCCACUUAAUAAUUAUUAUUUAUAAUAAUAAAAAAAAUUUGACUUAACACCUUUCCAUUAUUAUUAUAGAUUAUAGAUGAUAAAUAUUAAUAAAUUAGAUAUUUAAUUAGGAAUUAAUCUUAGGAAGUCUAAAAGUCAUUUAACAUUUUUAAUUUAAAACUUAUACAAUCAAAUAUUUAAAUAUUUUAUAACAAUUUAAUUAAUAGAAGGGGUAAAACUGUAAUUCAACUUUCAACUUUUUUUGUUCAUGCUUAUAGUAAUAUAUAUGAUAUGAUAUAUAUAUAUAUGAUUAUUUACUGUGGUCGUUUUCUGAUAUGAUCACAAUAAGAUAUAACCGUCUAUUAUCUUUUAAACUUGUUUUUCUUUUUAGUUUGCAAUAUAUUUUGGAUUGGUAACAUUAGUAGUAUUAAAUUGUUAACAGCACUAGUUUGCAAUAUUUUUGGUUUCUGCAAACAUUAUUAGCACAUAUUGAAAGAGAUAUAUAUGAUAUGGUUUCAUUGAAUUAUAUCCUCUACAUAAGCAGUGAAGACAAAACAAAGUACUAAUGUUAUUUAAAUUGUCUCUAAAAUUUUGAUGAUUUAAUAAACUUUGAGAUCUAAAGAACGACCAGAUUCCAAGAGAGAUUGAGAGUUCUGUUUAUGAAAAAAACAGCGGUCUAAAAGCAGCAACACCUGCUGUGGUUGGUGCACGUAUUUUGCAGCAGACAUUCAGCCAAUGGCAGGGCAUUGCUUCAAGAGUUUGGGUCCAUCCUAUAAUACACCUCUUUGACAUUGACACAAACUCAAGUUUUUGCAAUAUAAAAAUUCAUAACAGCAAAAGUCAUUCUCUCAAGGAAAUAUUUCUCGAUAAAUGAUAGAGUUAUCAUCGUUCUUAGGUGUUUUUAGGGCUUAUAUUUCUGUGCUUAUACUUGUAAGAUUUAUUCCUACGUUAUAAAGGAAUCAGAUCAUUUGAAGUUUUUUCUGAGUAUUCCGAGUUAUAGCUAGAGUUAGUUAUGUUGUAUUCUUGAAUUCAAGAUCAACUAUAGCUAGUUGAUUUAGUGGGUCAUAGAGUUAUUGCUUAGUUUUUGAGUAACAGAGUUGUUACUAUGAGGGGAAGGGAUUAAGAGUUUAAUUCCUAGGCUACAAGGGUUUGUAAUAUGAAGCUUUGCACUUUUGAUGAUAAUGGAGUUGGGUUAAAUCCUGUGAGACAGACCGUGGUUUUUCCUCCCUUGAACAAGGGGCAUUCCACGUAAAACUCUUGUAUUUGUUUUACUUUGUGUUAUUUAUUUUCCACAAUUUUUCUUUCAAGGGACUUGGUCCAUUGACCAUUAGUGGACGCAUACAUUCUAUGAGUAAUAAUAAGAUUGAAAAAGAAACCACUAAGAAAAAGUAAGGGUUAAAUCCAUCAAAUGGAAUCCUGGAGCCACCUCUUGAUGCUAAUAUUCUGGCCAAGAUCAGUAACAAAGAUAUAAUGUAAUCUGGUUUAACUAACCCUAAAGCUAGCUCAUCUCUGUGCAAUCUCAUAUAGGGCCCUAUUCAGGUGUGUCACAAUUAUGGUAGUAGCUAUAUGUGUCAUCUUUCUUCAAUUGUGUCUGUAAUGGUUUCAUGAACUGGAGUUCCAGGUUCUGUUGUAGAGAACCCUUCAGCAGCAGGGGAUACUCCUAGUCCGUCGGAAAUUCUGAUUUCUGGGAUUUGCGAAGGAAGGUCAGGCAAUAUCUCAGGAGAAGCUUCACUUGCUGCGAGCAGUGUAGGUGCAUUGCUUCCAUUGCUUUCAGAUGGCUCUUCUGACAUAGAAUUAGAGCUGUCUUUCUCUUCAUCAAAGACUUUUGCAAUUGCAGUAAGCUUUUGCCAUAUUGAAUCAUCAGUGGCUAAGAUUUCUCUAUUCUGAUAAAGGAGGAUGAGGAAGAAUAGGAGAAGAGCGGAGCCUGCUGAAACACCAGCUAUGAGGAAAAGUCCCUUAAAACUAUCUAACGUGAGGCUAUCAGAUGUUAUUGCCGUUUCAUCUUUCUGUGGACAAUCUGUUUCAUUCCCAAACCAUUUCUGUAUUAUGUUAUUCAUAAACUCUCCCUCCAUCACCUUCAAGACUGCUCUUGAGACGUCAGGUACCAAAGGAGAUCCUUUUGGAAAUGCCUGCAAUAAAAGAUUAGAUGAUUGAGUAAACAACAAAUCAUUCUAAAUAUAUAUGUUAACAGUGUCUGAAACAUCAGUGGAGUGUACAAUCUUACAAACCCAAAGCCGGCAGCCUUGUAUGUCUGGCCGACCAUAAUAUACUUCCUGCAGUACUUGUUGAGGAAGAGUCUGAGAUAAGGUAGUUCAUCAACAAUUGCACCUACACCUCCAAUUUUUUGCUUCCUCUUGAGAGUGCAUCAUUAUACUCUUCCAAUGUGCUAUAAUUUCUGAACUUGGAGCUGUCAAAUUUCAUGUGCUUUAUGAAGACGUCUUUGACAAAGGAACCUUCUUGGUACCCAACAUAUUCUCCAUUCUUGAUGAGAUCAUUGAGGUCUGUUAUAGUAGGUUGGAGCUGUUGCAGUGUCAACAUAGAUGUUAAGCUGGCUGUAUAACUUGAUGUCAGCACCAGAACCACAAAAACCCACACAAUCAGCAAAAAUCUUGUUAAGUUACUUGUUACCCUCUCUCCUGCAACAACCAGCCAUAUAUAUGAUUUGUUGAGACACAAGGAAAAAUCCUAUAUCUUUCGUAUAUAAUAAUAUGCUUUGAGUUAGUGUCUUACUAUGAGCAAAAACGAGAGUUGAGAAGGAAAACCAAAAUAUCAUCCCAACUUGGUUGCGUUUGGGUCCUCGGAACUCUUUGUUUACACGAUGUUCGAGUACCCAAACCACAAAACCAAUGAAAACGAAGAAUGCUCCAGUUGUUAUCCAAAGCUCGCUCUUUAGAGGUUUCAAGAAAAUCCAAGCAUCCCUCCUAUCAUCAUCCCUUACCGGCACAACUACAGAAAUACCUGACUCUAUAAAAGGUAAUGUGAAAUCCACAUACUCUGACCGGCUCGCUAAAAUGGUCACAUCACCUACAACUGCAUCAUAGUCCUGGCUCAAGCAAACAUUGAUUAUUCCAGUAUGUAUAGUUGAUUGUAAUAGCAGAAAAUAGAUAUCGAAGUCCCAAAAAGGGCCAUGUUAGUAAGAUAUAGAGCCAAAGAGGUUUAUUGGAACAGAGAUUAUAUAUUACCUGAGAGGUGAUCUUGUGAACAAGAUCAUCAUAGUCUGGAAGAGUGAGGGGAUCUUGUAUUGGAAAUGGAAUAAAUUCGUAAGGGAGAGCAUAUGGCAAAGAUAGGAUGACUUCUUUGAAGACAUCUGCACAGAAACCAGUUGCUGUUACUGCUUGUGUUUUUGAAUCUCUUUCCACUUUAAUGAGUUGCUCCAGCCCUCCUUUGAGAGGAACUCCAACCCUUAACUUCUUCCCACUUGUGGGCAUUUCCCAGCCUCUUGGAACAAUAGUUGAUUCACCAGGCCAAAAAAUGGCUCCUAGUUGCUUAUUAUUACACUUAACUGCUGUUUUACCAUUCAUCUUCAGUUUACACGAAAUGCCAUCCCUCUUCGUCCAAAAUCCAAUGUUUUUCUCUCCUUUCCCAAUUAUAUUCACAAUCUGAUAUGGGAUUGGCUGCAGUUCUCCAUUGAUGAUACGGAAAUCACCACUUAAUCCUUGUUUUAGCACUGUGUUUCGCAUAGAGUCAAUGAGCAGAGAUCCCACUGCUGACGUUCCAAGUGCAUCUAAGUCUGUUAAGUUCUCUCUGGUGUCUGGUUUCUUUAAUUUUGGGAUAGCAGUAGUGCCUACUUUAUCUACUGCUUCUGCUAAUGAGGUGAUGCUAUCGUAUGCCCAUAGCCCAAAAACAUUGAGUUCUAUUUGGUCCAUGUCUGGAUACUCUUGACGGAAUCUCUUUCUCCAUCUCUUUGUGUAGUUGUUAAGCUGAUUUGAUCUUGGAAUGUAAGGUUUUAUACCAAGAACACCUUGCAUUGAUGACUCGAUCACUGAAUGAUCUACCAAGUCCAGAAGACUCGUUAGCACAUCUGUGAUGAUCCAUGCAUAUCCACUGCUCAUCAUCCCUGCUUCUUUGGCCUUGAGAAAAAGGCGGGAGGCAAGAUAUGGACGCAAGUGCACGACGAACACCCUUGUUUGCUUUGUAUUCAUAUUGUAUAACUCCUUGAGAAUCUGAUCAUCAUUGGCUGACGGAGAAAUAACACUUCUAUAGGAGACUAAAGUGCUGAUUUCCAGUAAGGCAUCAGUCAAAUGUGGAACUAUCCCGAACCCAUAGGGGCUAUCCUCAUAGAUGACCACAACCUCCCUCCAAUCAAAGUUUUUAACAAGUGCUGCAAUGGCCUUAGUCUGGCUGGAAGAAGGAAGUGCUGCUCUGAUGAAGAAGGGAUUUUCCUUGACUGUAAGUAAAGGACUUGUUGCUGGAGAAAUGAUUGGGACUUUUACUCUGUUCCCUAAGUCGAUCACAAAAUCAGUUUGUGUAGACAUUUGUGGCCCAAAGAUAGCUUGUACUUGGACAUCCUUUAGCAAGUAUAUGGCUGCACAUACACAAUCAGACAAUAAGAAUUUACCCAAAGUAAGAGUUUAAUAGAAGUGAAUCAUGGAACUGAAUUUACCAGCAGAUGUUGCUUCAACAUCAUCUUUCUUGGAAUCCUUGAUAUGAGGAACUAUCCUUAUGGCACCGCGACUAGCGUUGGCAUGAUAAUCUUCAAGUGCUAGUAAGAUAGAUAUGUGCAUUACUUUUCCCACAUCUGUUUCCAGAUCAAGAAUUAUACCCACAUCCACCUUUACAGCACUAGUGUUAUUAUCUUCACCUCUUAUUCGAACCACAUAGUGGUAAAAGCUAAUGAUGGAGAUAAGUUGAAAUGAAAAGAAUUAGAAAAGUGGCAUCUUGGAUUAUGCAUUUGAAAAAACUCUGGUAGCAAGUAGUCUGAGAGAUGGGCAACAAGCAGUUGUGCUUGUGCAAGAUAACCACACAUUCAGAAUGACAAUUUUCCUAUAAUUAAUAAGACCAAACUCCAUAAAUGAAGAAAGAAAAGUCAAAGAACAAAUGGUUGAAAAUCAAGUAUUCGUUUGAUUAUUGAAAGUGAGGACUUUUCACAUAUGCUACAACCGCACAGCUAGUAAGCAUAUUACCCCUCAGGUUUGACUAAAUAAAAAUUUGACAAAAUUGAUUGGUACUCAUUCCCCAACACCCAAUUACUUUUUGUGUGUACUAUCUAGAGGAUAUAUUCAAGGGAACUUACAUGAAUUCAACUAAUUUAGGAGUUAAUUACUUAAAUACAUUGUAGUUUGCAAUAUUACGUAUUUUACUAGAUUUUGGUAUGUCCAGAUACAUUCAGAUACAUAUAUGUGAGGUUACUUAGGAUCAAAAUUAGGUGUAAUUUGCUCUAGAUGCAUUGUAUCUAAGUGACUUUGCAUGUAUCUGGGAUACAUAACAAAUCUCGCUCGCCUCUCUCCCAUCUCUCACUCUCCUAUGUAUCUGAUAUUCCAUAUACAUGUGAAUCACACCAGAUACAUACACAUAAAUGUAUCUUAUGUGUAUAUAGUGUGAUUCGCAUGUAUCUGGGAUACAUAACAAAUCCCGCUUGCCUCUUUCCUCAUCUCGUUCCCCUAUCUUCCUAUUUUUGUGUAUCUGAUGGCAAAAAUUCAUGUAGCCAAAUGUAUUUUCCUCAAUAUAUGAUAGGAAACUCUUAAUUAGUGAUAGUAUACGAAAUAUUUUAAAAGUAUAGAAUAUAAUAGUAUAUAUGAUAGUGAAGUAUGUCUAAUGAUAUAGUUUUUCUGUAUUGAAAGGACUUCCCAAAUUUUGGCUGAGGCAUAAAAAGUUGACAAAUUUAGCUCAGUUACAAAUUCCACAAUUAAACCAAUAAGUAGAAGAGACCAUUGUUUUCCAACUUGGACAAGGCUAGAUACGACUAGUAAUCUUUAGUUUACGCGUUUUCAGUUACUAGUCUUUGGACACGUGCGUUGCACGUAUAUCCCAUAUUAUAUGGUUGCAUAAUAUAUGUCUAUAGUUACAAAUAUAUGUAUAAAAAAAAAUUGAUUGUGAUAUAAAUUGGAAAACAUGUAUAAGAUAAGAAAUCAAAACAGAUACCCUCAAAUUUCAAACUAUAAGCAUAAUAAGAAUAUGUAUUUCUAAUGAGUUUAAUCAAUCAUACCUUGCAAUAAUCUCUGCAAUUCAUUGAGAAACUUUCAAUCCAUACAUCAACAUUCAAUCGUGUAUAUAUAAAGAAAACUUGAAAUGCAUAACAACAAUUAUAUCUAUAUUUUUUAAAACACUAUAAAGUCAUUUUUUCUUUUUGCAUUAUAAUAUGGAUUGCACACAAUUUCUAUUAAAAAAAAGAAAGACAAAAUUAGGAAAAAUCGUAUCAAUAAAUUGGAAUGAAAAAUGUAAAAUUGUAAUAAGAGGAAGAGAAGAAAAAUACAGUAGAAUAUAUUACCUAACCAUGAAUAAGGAAGUAUGUUGAGUAAAAGAAGAGUAAUGCAAAAGUGUGAACUGAUAUAUGGAGGAAAUUGACAAAUAUAAUAAUCUAUAUUGAAUAAUGAAAAACAACUCUUCAAUUUCUGCAAAAAUUUUAUAACUACGAGCUCAAAAUAAUAUAAAUUUAUUAAUUUAAUAAAUGACAUAAAUAAAUAAAUAACAUAUAUUGUGUGUAUGUGUAGUUAAUGGGGUAGUGAAAAAGACUCUUUCUGAAAUUAUUUUUAUCUCUUUAAAGUAAUUUUGAACUUUUGAUAUUAGUGCUAUAGAAAAUCAUAUAAAGUCAUAAGCCACUGCAAGUUUUUAUAGUAAUUAUCUUAUUAAAUUAUAUACCUAUUAUUAUUUUUAAUUAUUUAUAAUCAUUCCGAAAAUGUAUAAAUUAAUUUUGAAAAGCUUGUAAAAUGAGAAAUUAUUAUUUCUUAUCAUUAUUUUAGCUAUUAUUAACAUUUAGUAUGACAACAUUUUAAAAAAGCAGCUUCCUUUAAAUAUUAAUUGUUUCUAAAUUAACAUAGCCAAGAAUUUAAAAUGUUGUGACGUUUUGUUUAUCUAAACACGCAGAAUUUUGUUUUUGAACCUGGAACAUGUAAUUAAGCCUUGGGUGAAUUAUAAUUUUAUUUUUACUAUUUAAUUAAUUAAAUAAUUUGUAACAUUUUAAUAUAAUGAAGGGGUAAAAUGGUAACUCAACUUUAAAGGUUGGAGCUUCCCACUUUUAGUAAUAUAUGAUAAAUUGGUCAGUAGUAGUAACCUAGUUUAAUUUGAUAUAAUAACAUUCAUGACAAAAUAAAUUAAAUAUGGCUAAUUAAGAAAAUAUAAUUAAAUAUGAUUAUCUUUAAUGUUAUUUAAAUUUGUAGGCGAUUUUUUUUGUAUUUUAAAAUUAAAAAAAGGCCAAAAAACCCACAAAAAGAGAUAAAUAGGAUUGAAGCCCUUAGAGAGCGUCACCUCACCGUUUUCAUAUUCAACUUUAUUAUUAUAUAUGGAUUUAGAUUUUUGCACAACCUUAAAUUUAAGGACACAUUUAGAUAUUAUAUCAAACAUUCAUUUAUUUGAAGUUGAAAUUACAUUUUACAUGAAAAUUGGAUAUUCCAUAUUCACAUUGAGUAUGAAUCUUUUUGUUUUUUUUACAAAAUUCAAAAUAAAAAAAUACAAAACAUAAACUUAUAGAUCAAAUUUUACAUUUGACAUUUGAAAGUUUUACUUUUCAUUAAACGUUUUGUUAUAGAAUUUGGAAUCGCCCUUUGAAAUUAGUAUUUAUAAAUGAAAAUAUUGAUCUAGUCCUGUUGAAAUUGUGUCUGGCCUAGUACUUUUUCUUAUUAGAGUGAUUAUUGAAUUAGGUUUAAUAUCAAUUUUCUUAAUUAGUUUUGUCAAUUGGCAGUGCUAAGAAGAUGGGAAUUUACGUUAUAUUAAAUUAUCUUUACAUUAAUAAAAAAAGAAAUUGUUGUUAGUAUUAUUUGUAAUAUAAUUAAACAAAAAUAACAAUGGGAAGAAAAUAAUAAGUAAAGAUUACACGUUGUAUUAAAAUAAUAAGUAUUAAAAAUUAUGAUAAAUUUUAUAAUAGUCAUAACAGGAAUUUACGCAAUAAUUACUAUAUUAGAAUACUAGAAAAAUUGAUAAGUUCCUCGACAUCUAAUCAUUGAUUAAAAUUUAAAUUAUUAUUUUCUUCUGCGAAAGUUUAAGAGAUUAAAUUAAUGUUUUAAAAAAUAAUAUUAAUUAUUUUCAAUGAUUAAUAAGAAAAUGUAUAUAGCAAGUACAUGUAUUAUUAUUACAUUAUUUAUAUCCACUCUAUAUUAAAUCAUUUUUCUAUUAUAGUUUGACGCAAAUUUCAGAAUGUAAAGAAUGUUUUGGAUUCGAAAAAUAAAUAUUCAAAAUAUACUAACAUGUCAUUUAAUCUUAUGAUAUUUUACAUUUCAUGUGAAAAAAAAUUAAAUAUUAAUUUUUUAAUAUGAAAAAUAUUAAUUUAUUAAUACAACAUAAAAGUAAUAAAGGACAAUAUAUAAAAAUAUUUGAAGUAUUUGAUAUUUUAUUAAAUUAAAAUAAUUCUAAAUUAAUAUAUAGCCGCGCAACGCGCGGGUACGUAUACUAGUGAAGAACAAUAAUAAAGAAGAAGACAAUUGAGUUAAUAUUUAUUUUUUCCAAGUUUAAUUUAACACAUGACCAGUUUUUAUUGGUCAGUGCUGUCAAAAAGUUGCACCCACGCGCCUAAAAUAGGUGAAAUCACGGACUCAGCCACGUAGGCCAAAAAGUGGUAAACAAUUAACUAAAAAAUAAGUUCAGGGGGGUAAUAGGACUUUAGUAAAGGUUAGGUGUGUCUCAGGGAUUUUGGGCAUAGGCUGGGGGGGUACUUAUGCAUUUUCCCUUAUGUUAAAUAUACCAAAAUGUUUUUUAAUCUUAUGACUUUAAACAUGUCACGUGAAAAACUGAAAUUAAAGUGUUGCCAAAAAAAGAAGGGUCAUUUUUUUUAAACAGACUAAACAGAAAAGUAGAUCUUUUUAAAACGGAAGGGAAGUAAUUGUUAAUGCAAGAGGAAGCUGCUUGAAAAGUUACGUAUAUGAUGUUGAAGUUGUCUAACAUGCAAUGCUGGUCCUAUAAUCUUUCAUUAUUUAUUAUCCAUGACUAUGGGUGGAUAAUAAUAGUUAUCUGCUAUGAUCAUAUAUACCUAGGGGUGGACAUAUUACUUAGAAAACUUAUGUUAGGUAAUUUUGAUUUCUAAAAAUACUAUAUGGUGUAUGCUAUUUGCAGAUGAUAGUCCUAAUCGACCAGACUCGUAAUAGAGUUAAUGUUAAGCUAGAGAAGAUAAUAAUGGCUCCCUUCUCAAAUAUUUCAUUGGUAGAAAUUUGCCUUCCAGAAUUUCAUAAUUGCAUCUGAUCCUUUCUGAUAACUCAAAGGGCAUCUUAAAUUGGUGCGGAAGUUUAAUUUUGACAUGGAACGCAAAUAUAUGCGGAAAAUUAGUAAUUCAAUAAAUAUUUAAUUAUGAAUGCAUAUUACAAAAGUGCAAGGAAUUCAAUUGUAAGAUGUUGAAGGUUAAACCCAUAAAUUCUAAAUACUAGAGACGCCUCUUAAUGCAAAUAUAAUAUGGUUUAACUAUUUUAAACCUGGCUCAUCUCUCUUAAGUUGUCCCUGUAAUGUUUUCAUGAACUGGAGUUCCAGGUUCUGUUGUAGAGAACCCUUCAAGUGCAGGGGAUGCUCCUAAGCCGUCGGAAAUUCUGAUUUCUGGGCUUUGCAAAGGAAGGUGGGGCAAUAUUUCAGUAGAGGCUUCACUUUCUGCAAACAGCAUAGCUGUUUGGAUUUCAUUGCCUUCAGAUGGCUCUUCUGACAUAGAAUUAGAGUUGUCUCUCUCUUUAUCAAAGGCAUUUGCUAUUGCAGAAAGCUUUUGCCAUACUGAAUCAUCAGUGGCUAAGAUUUCUCUAUUCUGAUAAAGGAAGAUGAGGAAGAAUAGGAGAAGAGCGGAGCCCGCUGAUACACCAGCUAUGAGGAAAAGGCCCUUAAAACUAUCGAGCAUGAGGCUAGAUGCUAUAGCCAUUCCAUCUUGCUUUGGACAAUCUGUUUCAUUCCCAAACCAUUUCUGUAUUAUGUUAUUCAUAAACUCUCCUUCCAUCACCUGCAAGACUGCUCUUGAGACGUCAGGUACCAAAGGAGAUCCUUUUGGAAAUGCCUGCCAGAAGUUGGGGGAAAAUAAAAGAUUAAAUUAUUGAGUAGAACAUAAACCAUUCUAAACAAAUGUAAACACGUUCUGAAACAUCACUGGAGUGCAACAUUCUUACGAAUCCAAAGCCAGCAGCCUUGUAUGUCGGACCGACCAUAAUAUACUUCCUGCAAUACUUGUUGAGGAAGAGUCUGAGAUAAGGUAGUUCAUCAACAAUUGCACCAACACCUCCAUUUUUACUUCCUCUUGAGAGGGCAUUACUAUACUCUUCCAAUGUGCUAUAACUUAUGAACUUGGAACUGUCAAACUUCAUGUGCUUCAAGACAUCUUUGACAAAGGAACCUUCUUGGUACCCAACAUAUUCUCCAUUCUUGAUCAGAUCAUUGAGGUCAGUUAUAGAAGGUUGGAGCUGUUGCACUGUCAACAUAGAUGUUAAGUUGGCUGUAUAACUUGAUGUCAGCACCAGAACCACGAAAACCCACACAAUCAGCACAAAUCUUGUGAAGUUACUAGUAACCCUCUCUCCUGAAACAACCAGCCAUAUAUAUGAUUUGUUGAGAAACAAGGAUAAAUCCUAAAGCUUUUUGUAUAUAAUUUGCUUUGUGUUAGAGACUUACUAUGAGCAAAAACGAGAGUUGAGAAGGAAAACCAGAAUAUCAUCCCAACUUGCUUGUGUUUGGGUCCUCGAAACUCUUUGUUUACACGAUGUUCAAGUACCCAAACCACAAAACCAAUGAAGAUGAAGAAUCCUCCUGUUGUUAUCCAAAGCUCGCUCUUUAGAGGUUUCAAGAAAAUCCAAGCAUUCUUUCUAUCAUCAUUCUUUACCGACACAACAGCAGAAAUACCGGACUCUGAAAAAGGUAAUGUGAAAUCCACAUACUUGGCUCGGCUCGCUAAAAUGGUCACAUCACCUACAACUGCAUCAUAUUCCUGGUUCAAGCAAACAACGAUUAUUUUAGUAUAUAUGGUUGAUCUCAGUCAAAGAAGAAAGUAGAUAUGGAAGUCCCGGAAAGGAGCAUGUAAGGUAUUCAGCCAAAAAGGUUAAUUCAAAAAAGAAUUGGAUAUUACCUUUGAGGAGAUCUUGUAAACAAGAUCAUCAUAGUCUUGAGAAGUGGGGCUAACUAUUGGAAAUGGAAUAAAUUCGUAAGGGAUGGCGUAUGGCAAAGAUUGGAUAACUUCUUUGAAGACAUCUGGAAUGAAACCAGUUGCAGUUACUGCUUGUGUUUUGGCAUCUAUUUCCACUUUAAUGAAUUGCUCCAGCCCUCCUUUGACAGGAACUCCAACCCUCAACUUCUUCCCACUUGUGGGUAUUUCCCAGCCUCUCGGAACAAUAAUAGAUUCACCAGGCCAAAUGAUGGCCGCUAGUUGCUCAUUCAUACUCUUAGCUGUUUUACUAUUCAUCUUCAGUUUAUGCGAAAUGCCAUCCUUCUCGGUCCAGAAUCCAAUGCUUCUCUCUCCUUUCCCAAUUAUAUUCACAAUCUCAUAUGUGUAUAGCUGCAAUUCUCCAUCAAUGAUACGGAAUUCACCACUUAGUCCUGUUUUUGGCUUUGUAUUUCGCAUAGAGUCAAGGAGCAGAGAUCCAAAUUCUGAGGUUCCAAGUGCAUCUAAGUCCGUUAAAUUCUCUCUAGUGUCUGCUUUCUUGAAUUUUGGGAUGAUGGUAGUGCCCACUUUUGCUAUUGCUUUUGUUAAUGCGGUGAUGCUAUCAUAUGCCCAUAGCCCGUAAACAUUGAGUUCAACUGGGUCCAUGUCUGGAUACUCUUGACGGAAUCUCUUUCUCCAUCUCCUCGUGUAAUUGUUAAGCUCAUUUGAUCUUGGAAUAUAAGGUUUUAUACCAAGAACACCUUGCAUUGAUGACUCAAUUACUGAAGUAUCUACCAGGUCCAGAAGACUCGUUAGCACAUCUGUGAUGAUCCAUGCAUAUCCACUGUUCAUCAUCCCGGUUUCUUUGGCCUUGAGGAAAAGGCGGGAGGCAAGAUGUUCUUGCAAGUGCACAAUGAACACCCUGGUCUGCAUUGUCUUCAACUUGUAUAGCUCCCUGAGGAUUUGAUCAUCAUUGGCUGAAGGAGAAAUACCACUUCUAUAGGAGACUAAAGUAUUGAUUUCCAGCAAGGCAUCAGUCAAAUAUGGAAGUAUCCCGGUUCCAUAGGGGCUUUCCUCAUAGAUUACUACAACCUCCCUCCAAUUAUAGUUUUUAACAAUUGCUGCAAUGGCUUUAGUCUGACUGGAAGAAGGAAGUGCGCCUCUGAUGAAGAAGGGAUUUUCCUUGACUGAAAGUGAAGGACUAGUUGCUGGAGAUAUUAUAGGAACUUUAACUCUGUUCCCCAAGUCGAUCACAAAAUCAGUUUGUGUAGACAUUUGUGGCCCAAAGAUAGCUUGCACUUGGACAUCCUUUAGCAAGUAUAUGGCUGCACAUACACAAUCAGACUAUAAGAAAUUGUCUGAACAUCUCUUUUUCAAAAUAGGAAAAGUAAUAUCUUAGAGAAAAAGUGAAUCUUUUGAAGCAAAGAGAGAAAAAUAAUCCUAGUUUAACAUAAGUAAAGCUUAGAGCUGAAUUUUACCAGCUGAUGCUGCUUCAACAUCAUCUUUCUUUGAAUCCCUGAUAUGAGGAACUAUCCUUAUGGCACCGCGACUAGUGUUGGCAUGAUAAUCUGCAAGAGCUAGUAAGAUAGAUAUGUGCAUUACUUUUCCCACAUCUGUUUCCAGAUCAAGAAUUAUGCCCACAUCCACCUUUACAGCACUAGUGUUAUUAUCUUCACCUCUUAUUCCAAUUACAUAGUGGCAAAAGCUAAUGAUGGAAACAAGUUGAAUGAAAAUAAUUAGGAAUUUGCAUCUUGGAUUAUGCAUUUGAAAAACUCUUGUAGAAAGUAAUAUGAGUGUUGGGCAAGAAGCAGUUGUGCUUGUGCAAGAUUUAUAACCACCAUUCAGAGAUGUGUUUAAAGGUAUCUUAACUAUAACUUUUCUACAAUUAAAUGAGACCAAACCUCAUAACUGCAGAAAGAAAAGUCAAAGUUUUCAAAGAAUUACAAAUGGUUUAAAAUAUACUAGUUUGAUUAUUAAAGAAAGAGGACUUUUCACACUUGUUAGACCACAAGCUAGUAAAGCCUCCUCAGUUUUGACCAAAUCAAUAAAUGACUAAAUGAACAUAGUGACAAAAUUGAUUUGUACUCAUUCUCCCAAUACCCAAAGAAGUUUUUGUAUUCAUUGGAUGACUAUCUAGAGGCUACUAAAAGGACUUCCCAUAUUUUGGCUAAGUCAUGUUGAAAGUUGAGUGCUAGCUCAGUUACAAAUAAGUAGAAGAGGUCAGUUUCUAUGACUUGGACAUUGGAAAAGGGCAGCUAUGACUAGUAAUCUUUAGUUUACUUAGACGGUUCAGUUUAGAAUUGGUCAGUAGUAUAAAACUUUAUGGUGGUAGAGGCACAACUUGUAGGGUUGUUCCGGGUUAUCGUUAAAAAAUCAAAUCAAACUUGUAGGGUUGUUUGGUUAGGUUUUAAAUUUUGAAAAUCAACACUAUUUGGUUUGGUUUGGUUUUAAAACUGUAAAAAUAACCAAAUUGAACGUGUAAUUAUAAUAAUUGCUUGAUUGAAUCCACAGUAACUUUCAUGUGUAUUGUUCAUGUACUAGGUGUCUGUGUUUAUAUGUCUUCAAAAAAAUUAUUACUUCCAAAACAAAAAAACAAAAAAAAUUGAACCAAACCGACAAUUAUUUUUUUAUUUGGUUUUAGAAUUUAGAAACCGACUAAAUUGAUCUGGCUUUGAUUUUAGCCAAUAAUCAAUCCAAAUCGAACCAUGAACACCUCUAGGCACAAAUAUAACUUGGUAUGUGAAGGAUUACUAUAAUACCUUUCCUUCAACUUUUUUUUAAAAAAAAAAAACCUCUAUUGGUAAAUUUUUCAAAUCAGUUUUUUUUACUCAUGAGCUCUAUUCCUUUCCCUUUUAUAUUUUUUAUAAUAUAAAAUAUAAGAUAAAAUAAAGAAUUUUUUUAAAAAGAAAUGAGAAAAAAAAUGAUGAAGAUGAGGGGUGAGGAGCUAAAGGAGAGAAGAAAGAUAGAACAUAAGAUGAGAAAGGUAGGGUCCCCAUAUUUUCUUUAUCAAAAAGUAAUUUCUUACCUACCAAAGUCAUAUUUAUGCCUCUACCACCACAAAUUUUUUCGUAUUAACUUGCUUGCAAGUUGCAAAACCAAACAAAGCAAGCAUACCCAAAUGGAGAUGGAAUCUUGGAAUGAGGAUGGUUGGGUAUACAUGUAGGUUUCAAUGUCAUUAUCUCAAUAUAUAUAUACUAGAGGGGCAUGGCCCGUGCUAAGCACGGGCCCAACAUAAACAUAGUUAGUCUAUUAUUCUCUAUAUAGGCAAAAUAUUGUUGGAAACUAUUCACUUAUAUAAGUAACUAAUUCAAGUUAUGUGUUUGUUAACAAAGUUUAUUCAUUCAAGCAUCUGCAAACUAUACACCAUACCAAACCACCAAUAAAGAAAAAGACAUGAAAUGUUAACACAAAUUAAACAACUUCAAAAGAAAGAAAGAAAAGAAGAAGAAUCAAGGAGGUGAAAGAACAUUAAAAUUUUGCAGUCUUAUCAGUCAAAUUCUAGUGGUGUCACAACUUUCACAGGGACCAUCAACUCUUCAACUUUUUGUACAUAUUUGCUUUUCAGUGCCAAUAAAUUAUUAUCUGUCGUUCCUGCAAGUUUUUGGAAAAAGUGUAUCAACAAUUGAUGCUAAAGAUCAUAUACUUUGUUUUGUAUUUUAUUUUACCAAGUAAAAAAGUCAGUAAUUGAUAUACCUAAUUUACUGCACUUAAGACAUUCUAGCUUCUAAAUCUAAUAAAACAAUACUAAUGAACACUUUUAAAUAAAUGAAAGAUGAUGGUACCUAAGGGAUGGAGUAAAUGAAUCAUGUGAAGUAAGCAAAUUGAAGUCAAAGUGAAUGUGUCAAUUACGUGGCCAUUAUAUCAAAUAUUUGUCAAUUCUAACCAAAAAGAAAUUGUUAGACAGUAAAUUUGUAAAACUUUAUAGAAAAUGACCUUUUAUUUUGUCUAUUUUGCCCUUUCAUGUGCUCCUUCAUGUCGCUUCCCCUUUCCAUUUUGUCGUCCCUCUCAUCUCAAUUCCCGUUUUGUUGUCCUCUCUUCCCAAUACUAUUUUUAUCCAGCUUGAUCUGGAAAAGAGGUAACUGACAUAUUAGUGUACUUAAUUUGGAACAAAAUCACUUGGAGAACAAUAAAGUAGGUAAUAAACACGAACAAUACUUAGACUCUGAAGUCUUGGUGAUAGUUAAGUAGUAGAAUGAGGAAGAGAUUAUACAAAUCAAUAGAGUUCAAACAACAACAUAUCUUAUCAAAUCUUAUCACUACCUCGUGGAGGUAGAGGUACUCUUUCCGAAAGAUCAAAUCACUGAUCUCGAUAGUUAUUGUUGAGUAGUUAAUACAUAAAUCUCUCCAGAGUAACAAAAAAAGGGCAGAUAGGGAUUAAAAGAAAUUAAGAAAAUGAAAUACGAUGCUACAUUUCUCAAGAGUUAAAAAGAGGGACAACCAAUUUGAGUAGUAGAUUCAGGUUGAUGGUGAUCUACUAUACAACUAAAUGGUGCAACAACUCAAAAUCUCAAGGAAAACAAAUCAAGACAUUCUUGCAAAUUAAAGGCACUAAUAAAACUGCGGCAGAAAUUCUCGUGACUGUGUGGUUCUAUAUGGAAAAUGACUUCCACAUGCUUGGUCUUAGCAAUACGCCAUGUGCACAAGGAAAAAUAUAUUAUAACCACGCGUUUCUUGUUACCGAUAAACAUGACUUAUGAGAAAGUCAGUUUUUAAGAGAAUUCGAAGAACAACAGGAUAAGAAACUACCCUUUCAUUUACUUUCUCAAACACUUAAUAAGGCUUCCGUUUUUUCAACAUUCUUGCAGAGUUGAUUGUGGAGAUCAACAAUUCAUCCAUUUGACCAUUAUCACUUGUAGACACACUAAACUGACAAAGAGUCUUAUAUCAGGGGUGUAUAAAUGAAAACCCCUUCUUUUCAUAUCUAUUUGAAUUGAUUAAACUUGUCGCACAACAAAUAGGAUCAACGUUUUCAGUAAUCAAAGGAAAGAAAAAAAUCUACAUCAAAGGCAUGUUAUAUGAAGUAUGUGAAAUAAGGAUUGUAGAAACGAAGGAGAAAUAAAGAUUUGAUUAGCUUACCAUUCAAAGUAAUUGUAGACAAACAAAGAAGAAGUGAAUAUUUGAUCACCGCUUACCGUUCAACUCAACUGUAGACAAACGAAGAAGAAGUGAUUGACCCUUAAUUUGGAAUCAAUUGAUUUUUUACUAUAUCUCGAUAAAAAAUUUAAUUUAUGUAACUCAUUUCUAUAUAAACAACCAAGAUGCUUAGAACAUACAUAACAUAUUCAAUGUGGCUUACUUCUAUAAAAAUCAUAAAUAAAAUAUAAAGGAAAGCUUCAAACUCUACCUAAUUAGUUCAUAUGAUCAGCAAAAUCCAAAAAACUUGAAAAAAGAAACAAAUUUGUACUCUCUUGCAGAAAUAAGUUUUGUCUUUUGGAAACAACCUCUCUAUCUCCACGAAGUAGGGGUAACAGUCUACGUACACUCUACCUCCUCAAACCUCACUUAUGGGAACUACACUGGGUAUGUUGAUGUUGUUGUUGUUGAAAUAAGCACAAAAGACUGGACUCUCACUAAAACUUCCGUAAAGAUCAAAUUCUUAAGUUUCAUUCUGCAACUAAAAAUCCCGAAAAUGAAGAAUCAGAUUACUCACAUUGACAAAAGUGGGGUAAAAAAUAACUUGAGCUUUGCUAUUCAAAACAUCAACAACUUCUUCAAUCCCAGAAAGUCUUUUAAUUGCCUUUAAAUGCCUAGCACUAUUUUUUUAAGAAGAAAUUACUGAACAACCUUAGUGAAAAUUCCAAAUUCGCCAUUGCAUCCAACCCCCGUCCCAUCCCUGGACUAUCCUACACCAGCUACCCUUAAAUCCUCACCCAUCCAUCCCAUUGAGUUUUGCUGGAUUACAACGGCCCCCAUCCCAUCCCUUGACUAUCCUAUACAAAAUGGAAAAUCUCUUCUCCAAGGAGUUAGGAGACAAUAAUCGACAUAACUAUGUCAUCUUAUAUAGGGACAAAAUGAAUACAAUCUCACCCUGUGGUCUUCGAAUCUAUAGUAGACAAACGGUAAGUAAAGAGAUAUUGUAUAACUGCACCAACUAUUCAUUAUUUCUGAAGUAAUACAGUGAGUGCAUCACAUGUUAAAGAAAUAAAAUUAAGUUUAUUACUUUUAUUCAUGAACAUGUACAACUCUUGAGAUGAACUUUAAUUUGUCAGUAAACUAUAAAAUAGAGGUAAUUUGUAAAGGCUUAAGCCUAUUGGAUUAGAUUAUGUUCUCCGUGGGGGCAGUUUUUCUUCAACUCCAAAACUGUAUACGUCACUUCUGGUGGUUAUAUGAUUUACAUAUGAGAGGCGACAAUUAGAAGCUGAGAAAAGAAAUGAUCUCAGGUUACAUGACAGAACAAACCAAGUAAUGUUACACUCCCAAUUUCUUUCAGGACACAUAGUAUUGAUAUUUGCGAGCAUGAAAGACUGAAGGAUUAAACAGAGGAGAUAACUCUUAAGAGAGACCUCAUCAAGAACUUAAGAAAAUUUGUGUGAUAAUUUAACAAAUUUAGCGAGGCUAAUUGAUGAAGGAAGUCUAUUCACACUAUAUUCAUUUUAGUGCACUUAUUGACUAAAUGUUUCCCAAGUUCGAAUGUGAGGCCUCUAUUUGAGGAUGUAAUAAAACAACAUUUACCAUUAGAACUAAUUGAGCAGCUUGUGUUAACCCUCUGUAUUUACCUGACGAAUAUGCUUUAAGGUGGAGGAAUUUUUUGCAGUAGUCUUCUAUUAAAACAUCAUUUAAGCUACCUAAAUGAAUGGACAACAUGUAGUUUUUCGACGCAGAAACAAAAAAUCUACCUAACAAAGAGACAGAUAUAUCAAAGAAGCCACAGGUCGAUAAUCAGAGUGUCCUAAAGAGUUACAUUUACAAAAGUUGAGGAGACUGGACACGCUGUCAAAUUAACUCAACACUGAUGCUGCAUUGAAAGUGAGAGUCCAUGUAAUGUGGAUACAAUUCAUUAAGUACACACAAAACAGUCAGCAACUAAUUUCAGUGAUGUGCAACAAAAUUCAUAUAACAUAGCCACCAAGUUGACCAUAAAAUCCAUCAAAACACAUUAAUGAGGAAUUCGUCUUACUUCAGUUUUGAAUUCCCCCGGCUUUUAAGUAUACAAGCCACAUUUUUACUGAAUUUUCUCUUCAAGUGCAGUAAAGUAGCUCAAAGAACAGAAAGCAAAGUUACAACUGACAACUACAUCGAGAAAGAGGCUACUAUGGACUGUCAAUUUUUACAUGUGAAUCCAAAAAUUAAGCUCGCAUAACAACGGGUAAUAUACCAAAUUCAUAUUAAAUUUUAGAUCAAACAACAUCAUUUAUCAUGCCAAAACAGUCUAGCUGUGCAACUUUUAAGCAAUUUGGAUACACUUAUAUCUAAAAAUUGGCUAAACUAUUGAUAAACGUACUAUCUAAUGCUGGAAAUAUGACAUAGUACAGUGAAUAUUGAUCAAUUUACUACCAUCGCUGCAUUUUGAUACUCCUUGAACAGAGAAACGGAUGGAAAUGGACCAGCCAAGCUACGCCUAAUUACACCAUCUCUAUCUUUUAACUACUUUUGUACUUGGCUUCCGAUUGACGCUCAGCUCAGGUAAAGCACAAGAACAAUUAGGAGUAAAUUGAAAUUGUAUAUUACCAGUGGUCAUAUACUCGGGAGUAGCACAACUGAAUUGUAUGGACAAAUCAUAAGAGGGCAACAGAAAUAUUGUUAAAACUUGUAGAAGACUAAAUUUUAAAGUAGUUUUAGAUACAGCAGCCAGCAAAAUGUUAGAUGAUUUGAAAUCCUGAUACAUAAUUUUAGCUUCUGGGCUGUGGAGAUAUGUCAGUCCUUUAGCUGCCUUGAGAGUAACCUUCAUUCGGAGAUUCUAUGAUAGCGGUUGGAAAUAAGCACUCCUCUGUUCAAGAUGUACCAAAGGUUUAUUCAAUGACAUUACACGGAUAAUAUUAGUGGAUGUCCUCAAAUUAGAUGUGGAUUCAAGAUUUCAAGUUUAUGGAUUUCUAUAAUGAACUAAGUUCAUAGUAAAAUAAAUUUCUUAUACAUGGUUUAGAAAAAACAAUUGGGUCCCCAUGAAUCUACAUAUCAUAUUGUGGAUCUGUUCUUGCGUUAAAUAUGCAGUUAUGGUUUCAUACAAACUAUACUUACUUCUGAAUAGAUGAUUUUCCAAACUUCCCCUCGGCAUGAAUUCGCACACCAGAAUCUUGUGUUCAUCUUCUAACCUGGCUCAGGUAAGCAAUUUUCGCCUGUAGUUUAAGUGUACAGAGAAAACAGUUAAUCAACUUAUCAAGAUCAAGAAUUAUAGGAAAGCUUCAAUGUCUUUGAUAAAACAAUCAUCGGAUAUUUUAAAGGGAAGAGUUUAUAUACCAAUCAUUCCUUGUGACCUUGAAAGCUUUCUUCAAGAAUUUCACUUUGACUUUGAGGAGUCAACUGAGCCGAUAAAUAUGAAUGUGAUCAUGGAAAUGAUGCCUAAUUAAUAUGUAUCUUUGUAUGUCUUCUGUCUGUUCCUAGUAAAAGUUGCACCAGUUUACAUCAAUUAAGUAAUAAACUGAAUAAGUUAUAACAUGACUAUCUUAUAGCUUAUUUCAAACUGAACACGUACAUCUUCAUUACGUUUUUUAAAAUUUAGUAGAAAUAGAAAUGUAUAAUGGUACCUGAUAAGCAAAUCAAAUUCGUGACUAUCUUCUUGGCUCAUUCGUUAUGGAUGAACUUGAAGUUUCAUAAUGAACUUACUUUCAGCAGGGUUAUAAGCAUCCAGAUCAUAAAAUUCUUCAGGGGCAAAUGGUAUAGGAACAAAUCUCUGAGCCAAUUUUGUAAUUCCCUCAAGGCGGUAACUAUUGAUUGAAAUCUGCAUUUUUCCAUAGCUUUCAGAUAAAUGAAUAAGAUGUGUUAAAAAUGGAGAUUGUUUGCUAUUUAUAUACCGAAACUUGCACUCUAUGAAAAAUAAAUAACUUAUCUUACAAAGAAUUCUUCAUGUUCAAAGAAAGUCUCCCGUGUCAUAUAAGCAAAUUAUAGUUUAUGUUUAUCUACAUAUACAUAUGUUAGUAUUCAACAUUAUAAUUCAACUGCAUAUCCAACUGGAAAAUUAAAUCAACUAAAGAGGGAGAAAUACUGGACUUUCCACAUAUGAGAAAGGGUUGUGAAAAUAGGGUAACUCUAAUAGCUAAUCCUUCCAGUUGAAAGUGUUUUUGAGAAAAAAAAUCAAAUUAAGUUCGAUGUACCUGAUAACGCUCAAUGUUCCCUGCAUGGCAUCUUCUCAAUUUCUUUCCUUUCCUUUCUUCUCCAAGUACUUGUAAAGUCCUAUUUAUGAAAAAUUAACAAAUUGAAAAAACACCCACAUCAAGAACAAAAGCGGAAGAAACACUACAUUUCAAUAAUCAAAAGCACAAAAAAUUGAAAUACAAAGCGGGACAACGGAGAAGAAGAGGAGUAAACGACCAUAACAACAACAUCCAAUCAAGUUUAGAUUCAGUACAUGCAACAUUACCACAACCUAAACACCAAAAUUGAUGAAUAAAAAAAAGUCGGAACUCAUCAAAUGAAAAAAUCGACAAAACAGAUCUAAAGUCAAAAGGCAAAACAAAAAUGAGAAGAAAGAAGGAAGGGAAGAAGCAGUGCAUACCUAGGAAGGUAUGCAAUUUAACUGAGAAUUUCAUAUGAGGGCUUGCAAAACCCUUCCAUUUUGCAGAGCAUUUUUUCUUGGGACAGAGAAUGGAUGCAGAGGAACAGGGAUAUAUCACAUAGCUAGGACACGUGUUUCACAGAUGAAUAUACAGAUACACAUUAGUUAGAAAGCAAUGAGUCAAAUUACCAAAUUAACCCUAUUGGUACAAUUAACUUGAAUUUUGGUACAACUUGUAUAUGUUGUGUUAGUCCGAACUCUUGUUGGCUGUAGAAGGACACGUGUAGCCCACGUGUUUAUUCAAUAGUGAAUAGGGCUUAAUGGUACAGUACAAUUUUUUAUACUAUUGGUACAACUUUGUAGAGCUGUGUUGGUACUCUUCUUGUUGGCUUAUAUAUAAGGGUAAAGAGCUGUGUUGGUACUCUUCUUGUUGGCUUAUAUAUAAGGGUAAAGAGCUGUGUUGGUACUCUUCUUGUUGGCUUAUAUAUAAGGGUAAAGAGCUGUGUUGGUACUCUUCUUGUUGGCUUAUAUAUAAGGGUAAAGAGCUGUGUUGGUACUCUUCUUGUUGGCUUAUAUAUAAGGGUAAUAUAUAUACUCCCUCCGUCCCAAUUUAUGUGGCACCCUUUAUUUAUAGUCUGUUCCAAAAAACAAUGUCAUCUUACUAUAAUUAGAAACAAGGGAAAAGACUCAAAUAUGUUAUUGAAAUUUGAGAAAAGACUCAUUUAUGUCGUCCGUUAAAAGUUUGGUUCAUCUAUGUCAUUUUCGUUUGAGAAAAAACUCAUCCAUAUCAUUAGUUGUAAACUAAAAAUAAUUUUGGUUUUGUAAGAUCAUUUUAUACACGUGGUCAAUUAUGAUUUGGCCAUGUCAUCAAUUAAAUCAUUUCUAUAGAAGAGAAAAGGUUCAAAUAUGUCAUCGAACUUUGAGAAAAACUCAUUUAUAACAUCCGUUAAAAGUUUGUCUCAUCUAUGCUAUUUCAGUUAAUAAAUAAUGGCAUGAAUGAGGUUUUUCUCAAAUGAAAAUGGCAUAGAUGAGCCAAUUUUUUAACGAAUGACAUAUAUGACCUUUCUCAAAGUUCGAUGGCAUAUUUGAGUUUUUUCACUAGAAACAAUUUCAUUUAAAAUUCACUGUUAUCCUUAAUGAAAUUAUUUACAAACACACAAAUAUCUAAGGAUUGUUUUAAAUCACAAGUUUAAAAGUCUUUUUUUAAAAAAAUAAAUAUAUCGUGUCAAGUUAAACAAUGCCACAUAAAAUGAGACGGAGAGAGUAAUUGUUAAUGCAAGAGGAAGCUGCUCGGGAAGUUACGUGUAUGAUGUUGAAGUUAUUUGACAUGCAAUUGAGGUGAUCCUAUAAUCUUCCAGUAGUUAUGACUAGUAAAAUCACUCAAUUUAUAAAAUAAUACUUAAAAUAUAUGAGUCAUUAAAACUAAAACACUAUAUUAUCUUACAUAUAAGAUUACAUAUAACAAACAUUAAUAAUGUAAGUAAAAAAAAAUUUGAAUAUGUUAACAAAUUUUUGAAUUUUUUCCUCAGACAUAUAUCACAAUUGUAAAAUCUAUGCAACUUAAAUGUGUUCUUGUUCUUACGAAACGCCUUUGUGUAUAUAUAUUCUUAUUUUAUUCUCUCUUUUUUUCCUUUUAAUGAUGAUUAAAUAACCAUUAAUUUAUUAUUUCCUGAAUAAUUCAUUCAUUAGAUGUUCUUGAGUUUAUGUGAUAAUGACAAAUAAUAGUAUAGAUUCUUUUAAGGAAUUUUUUACUGUACCUUCAACAAUUUCAUGAUCAGUAGAGAAAACUUGCAUGAAUACUCAAUUAACAUGUGUUGUUUAAUCUGUACUAACAAAUACUUAAAACAAUAACUUUGUAGAAACAUAAACACAAGUUUAAAACAUGUACUCAAAAACAAUAAUUAAUAACAUAAGCAUAAAUUAAUGAUUGUAAAAAAAUAUACCAGGAUCUGUAAUAAUAGGAUGAAACAGAAAGGAAAAAACUGUACACGAAUAUUUAAUUGUGCAGAUUAAGAAGAAGAAGUUCAAAAUUUUCGUUUUUUUAAAAUGAGAGGAAAUCACUCUAUUUAUAGCUAGACAACAAAGGGUAGUGUGAACAAAUGUUUAUUGUGCCUUAUCGAAAAGGUCACAACUCUUUGGAAAAGUUACAACUGUUUGGAAAGGUCAUAACCUUUCAUAAAAGACACAACUUUUCAUAAAAGUCGCAACUCUACAUAGAAGUUACAACUUUUCAUAAAAGUCGCAACUGUUCAUAUAAGUCGCAACUUUUCAUAAAAGUCACAACUUUUCAUUAAAGUAGCAAAUUUUUAUGAAAGGGGAAGGAUAGUUUUGUAAAUAUAUUAAUUAAAAAAGGAAUCAUGGUUUGUGAUGGCGCCACGUAGGCAGGCCUAGGAUUCUCUUUUAUAUAUAUAUAUGAUAUAUGAUAUGAUUAUUUACUGUGGUCGUUUUCUGAUAUGAUCACAAUAAGAUAUAACCGUCUAUUAUCUUUUAAACUUGUUUUUCUUUUUAGUUUGCAAUAUAUUUUGGAUUGGUAACAUUAGUAGUAUUAAAUUGUUAACAGCACUAGUUUGCAAUAUUUUUGGUUUCUACAAACAUUAUUUGCACAUAUUGAAAGAAAUAUAUAUGAUAUGGUUUCAUUGAAUUAUAUCCUCUACAUAAGCAGUGAAGACAAACAAAGUACUAAUGUUAUUUAAAUUGUCUCUAAAAUUUUGAUGAUUUAACAAACUUUGAGAUCUAACGAACGACCAGAUUCCAAGAGAGAUUGAGAGUUCCGUUUAUGAAAAAAACAGCGGUCUAAAAGCUGCAACACCUGCUGUGGUUGGUGCACGUAUUUUGCAGCAGACAUUCAGCCAAUAGCAGGGCAUUGCUUCAAGAGUUUGGGUCCAUCCUAUAAUACACCUCUUUGACAUUGACACAAACUCAAGUUUUUGCAAUAUAAAAAUUCACAACAGCAAAAGUCAUUCUCUCAGGGAAAUAUUUCUCGAUAAAUGAUAGAGUUAUCAUCGUUCUUAUGUGUUUUUAGGGCUUAUAUUUCUGUGCUUAUACUUGUAAGAUCUAUUCCUACGUUAUAAAGGAAUUAGAUCAUUUGAAGUUUUUUCUGAGUAUUCCGAGUUAUAUCUAGAGUUAGUUAUGUUGUAUUCUUGAAUUCUAGAUCAACUAUAGCUAGUUGAUUUAGUGGGUCAUAGAGUUAUUGCUUAGUUUUUGAGUAACAGAGUUGUUACUAUGAGGGGAAGGGAUUAAGAGUUUAAUUCCUAGGUUACAAGAGUUUGUAAUCUGAAGCUUUGCACUUUUGAUGAUAAUGGAGUUGGGUUAAAUCCUGUGAGACAGACCGUGGUUUUUUCCUCCCUUGAACAAGGGGCUUUCCACGUAAAACUCUUGUAUUUGUUUUAAUUUGUGUUAUUUAUUUUCCACACAAUUUUUCUUUCAAGGGACUUGGUCCAUUGACCGUUAGUGGACGCAUACAUUCUAUGAGUACUAAUAAGAUUGAAAAAGAAACCACUAAGAAAAAGUUAGGGUUAAAUCCAUCAAAUGGAAUCCUGGAGCCACCUCUUGAUGCUAAUAUUCUGGCCAAGAUCAGUAACAAAGAUAUAAUGUAAUCUGGUUUAACUAACCCUAAAGCUAGCUCAUCUCUGUGCAAUCUCAUAUAGGGCCCUAUUCAGGUGUGUCACAAUUAUGGUAGUAGCUAUAUGUGUCAUCUUUCUUCAAUUGUGUCUGUAAUGGUUUCAUGAACUGGAGUUCCAGGUUCUGUUGUAGAGAACCCUUCAGCAGCAGGGGAUGCUCCUAGUCCGUCGGAAAUUCUGAUUUCUGGGAUUUGCAAAGGAAGGUCAGGCAAUAUCUCAGGAGAAGCUUCACUUGCUGCGAGCAAUUUAGGUGCAUUGCUUUCAGAUGGCUUUUCUGACAUAGAAUUAGAGUUGUCUUUCUCUUCAUCAAAGACUUUUGCAAUUGCUGUAAGCUUCUGCCAUAUUGAAUCAUCAGUGGCUAAGAUUUCUCUAUUCUGAUUAAGGAAGUUGAGGAAGAAUAGGAGAAGAGCGAAGCCUGCUGAUACACCAGCUAUGAGGAAAAGUCCCUUAAACCUAUCUAACGUGAGGCUAUCAGAUGUUAUAGCCGUUUCAUCUUUCUGUGGACAAUCUGUUUCAUUCCCAAACCAUUUCUGUAUUAUGUUAUUCAUGAACUCUCCUUCCAUCACCUUCAAGACUGCUCUUGAGACGUCAGGUACCAAAGGAGAUCCUUUUGGAAAUGCCUGCAAUAAAAGAUUAGAUGAUUGAGUAAACAACAAAUCAUUCUAAAUAUAUGUUAACAGUGUCUGAAACAUCAGUGGAGUGUACAAUCUUACAAACCCAAAACCGGCAGCCUUGUAUGUCUGGCCGACCAUAACAUACUUCCUGCAGUACUUGUUGAGGAAGAGUCUGAGAUAAGGUAGUUCAUCAACAAUUGCACCUACACCUCCAUUUUUGCUUCCUCUUGAGAGGGCUUCAUCAUAUUCUUUCAAUGUGAUAUAACUUCUGAACUUGGAGCUGUCAAAUUUCAUGCGCUUUAUGAAGACAUCUUUGACAAAGGAACCUUCUUGGUACCCAACAUAUUCUCCAUUCUUGAUGAGAUCAUUGAGGUCUGUUAUAGUAGGUUGGAGCUGUUGCAGUGUCAACAUAGAUGUUAAGCUGGCUGUAUAACUUGAUGUCAGCACCAGAACCACAAAAACCCACACAAUCAGCAAAAAUCUUGUUAAGUUACUUGUUACCCUCUCUCCUGCAACAACCAGCCAUAACAUAUUCUCCAUUCUUGAUGAGAUCAUUGAGGUCUGUUAUAGUAGGUUGAAGCUGUUGCACUGUUAACAUAGAUGUUAAGCUGGCUGUAUAACUUGAUGUCAGCACCAGAACCACAAAAACCCACACAAUCAGCAAAAAUCUUGUUAAGUUACUUGUUACCCUCUCGGCUCGCUAAAAUGGUCACAUCACCUACAACUGCAUCAUAGUCCUGGCUCAAGCAAACAUUGAUUAUUCCAGUAUGUAUAGUUGAUUGUAAUAGCAGAAAAUAGAUAUCGAAGUCCCAAAAAGGACCAUGUUAGUAAGAUAUAGAGCCAAAGAGGUUUAUUGGAACAGAGAUUAUAUAUUACCUGAGAAGUGAUCUUGUGAACAAGAUCAUCAUAGUAUGGAAGAGUGAGGGGAUCUUGUAUUGGAGAUGGAAUAAAUUCGUAAGGGAGAGCAUAUGGCAAAGAUAGGAUGACUUCUUUGAAGACAUCUGCACAGAAACCAGUUGCUGUUACUGCUUGUGUUUUUGAAUCUCUUUCCACUUUAAUGAGUUGCUCCAGCCCUCCUUUGAGAGGAACUCCAACCCUUAACUUCUUCCCACUUGUGGGCAUUUCCCAGCCUCUUGGAACAAUAGUUGAUUCACCAGGCCAAAAAAUGGUUCCUAGUUGCUCAUUAUUACACUUAACUGCUGUUUUACCACUGUUUUACUAUUCAUCUUCAGUUUAUGCGAAAUGCCAUCCUUCUCUGUCCAGAAUCCAACGCUUCUCUCUCCUUUCCCAAUUAUAUUCACAAUCUGAUAUGGGAUUGGCUGCAGUUCUCCAUUGAUGAUACGGAAAUCACCACUUAAUCCUUGUUUUAGCACUGUGUUUCGCAUAGAGUCAAUGAGCAGAGAUCCCACUGCUGACGUUCCAAGUGCAUCUAAGUCUGUUAAGUUCUCUCUGGUGUCUGGUUUCUUUAAUUUUGGGAUAGCAGUAGUGCCCACUUUAUCUAUUGCUUCUGCUAAUGAGGUGAUGCUAUCGUAUGCCCAUAGCCCGAAAACAUUGAGUUCUAUUUGGUCCAUGUCUGGAUACUCUUGACGGAAUCUCUUUCUCCAUCUUUUCGUGUAAUUGUUAAGCUGAUUUGAUCUUGGAAUAUAAGGUUUUAUACCAAGAACACCUUGCAUUGAUGACUCAAUGACUGAAUGAUCUACUGAGUCCAGAAGACUCGUUAGCACAUCUGUGAUGAUCCAUGCAUAUCCACUGCUCAUCAUCCCGGCUUCUUUGGCCUUGAGAAAAAGGCGGGAGGCAAGAUAUGGUCGCAAGUGCACGACGAACACCCUGGUCUGCUUUGUAUUCAUAUUGUAUAACUCCUUGAGAAUUUGAUCAUCAUUGGCUGACGGAGAAAUAACACUUCUAUAGGAGACUAAAGUGCUGAUUUCCAGUAAGGCAUCAGUCAAAUGUGGAACUAUCCCGAACCCAUAGGGGCUAUCCUCAUAGAUGACCACAACCUCUCUCCAAUCAAAUUUUUUAACAAGUGCUGCAAUGGCCUUAGUCUGGCUGGAAGAAGGCAGUGCUGCUCUGAUGAAGAAGGGAUUUUCCUUGACUGUAAGUAAAGGACUUGUUGCUGGAGAAAUUAUAGGGACUUUUGUUCUGUUCCCUAAGUCAAUCACAAAAUCAGUUUGUGUUGACAUUUGUGGCCCAAAAAUAGCUUGUACUUGGACAUCCUUUAGCAAGUAUAUGGCUGCACAUACACAAUCAGACAAUAAGAAUUUACCCAAAGUAAGAGUUUAAUAGAAGUGAAUCAUGGAACUGAAUUUACCAGCAGAUGUUGCUUCAACAUCAUCUUUCUUGGAAUCCUUGAUAUGAGGAACUAUCCUUAUGGCACCGCGACUAGUGUUGGCAUGAUAAUCUUCAAGUGCUAGUAAGAUAGAUAUGUGCAUUACUUUUCCCUACAUCUGUUUCCUAGAUCAAGAAUUAUACCCACAUCCACCUUUACAGCACUAGUGUUAUUAUCUUCACCUCUUAUUGGAAUUACAUAGUGGUAAAAGCUAAUGAUGGAGAUAAGUUGAAUGAAAAGAAUUAGAAAGUGGCAUCUUGGAUUAUGCAUUUGAAAAAACUCUGGUAGCAAGUAGUCUGAGAGAUGGGCAACAAGCAGUUGUGCUUGUGCAAGAUAACCACACAUUCAGAAUGAUAAAUUUUCCUAUAAUUAAUAAGACCAAACUCCAUAAAUGCAGAAACAAAAGUCAAAGAACAAAUGGUUGAAAAUCAAGUAUUCGUUUGAUUAUUGAAAGUGAGGACUUUUCACAUAUGCUACAACCGCACAGCUAGUAAGCAUACUACCCCUCAGUUUUGACUAAAUAAAAAAUUGGCAAAAUUGAUUGGUACUCAUUCCCCCAAUACCCAAUAACUUUUUGUGUGUACUAUCUAGAGGAUAUAUUCAAGGGAACUUACAUGAAUUCAACUAAUUUAGAAGUUAAUUACUUGAAUACAUUGUAGUUUGCAAUAUUACGUAUUUUACUAGAUUUUGGUAUGUCCAGAUACAUAUAUGUGAGGUUACUUAGAAUCAAAAUUAGGUGUAAUUUGCUCUAGAUGCAUUGUAUCUAAGUGACUUUGCAUGUAUCUGGGAUACAUAACAAAUCUCGCUCGCCUCUCUCCCAUCUCUCACUCUCCUAUGUAUCUGAUAUUCCAUAUACAUGUGAAUCACACCAGAUACAUACACAUAAAUGUAUCUUAUGUGUAUAUAGUGUGAUUCGCAUGUAUCUGGGAUACAUAACAAAUCCCGCUUGCCUCUUUUCUCAUCUCGUUCCCCUAUCUCCCUAUUUUUGUGUAUCUAAUGGCAAAAAUACAUGUAGCCAAAUGUAUUUUCCUCAAUAUAUGAUAGGAAACUCUUAAUUAGUGAUAGUAUACGAAAUAUUUUAAAAGUAUAGAAUAUAAUAGUAUAUAUGAUAGUGAAGUAUGUCUAAUGAUAUAGUUUUUCUGUAUUGAAAGGACUUCCCAAAUUUUGGCUGAGGCAUAAAAAGUUGACAAAUUUAGCUCAGUUACAAAUUCCACAAUUAAACCAAUAAGUAGAAGAGACCAUUGUUUUCCAACUUGGACAAGGCUAGAUACGACUAGUAAUCUUUAGUUUACGCUUUUUCGGUUACUAGUUUUUGGACACGUGCGUUGCACGUAUAUCCCAUAUUAUAUGGUUGCAUAAUAUAUGUCUAUAGUUACAAAUAUAUGUAUAAAAAAAAAUUGAUUGUGAUAUAAAUUGGAAAACAUGUAUAAGAUAAGAAAUCAAAACAGAUACCCUCAAAUUUCAAACUAUAAGCAUAAUAAGAAUAUGUAUUUCUAAUGAGUUUAAUCAAUCAUACCUUGCAAUAAUCUCUGCAAUUCAUUGAGAAACUUUCAAUCCAUACAUCAACAUUCAAUCGUGUAUAUAUAAAGAAAACUUGAAAUGCAUAACAACAAUUAUAUCUAUAUUUUUUAAAACACUAUAAAGUCAUUUUUUCUUUUUGCAUUAUAAUAUGGAUUGCACACAAUUUCUAUUAAAAAAAAGAAAGACAAAAUUAGGAAAAAUCGUAUCAAUAAAUUGGAAUGAAAAAUGUAAAAUUGUAAUAAGAGGAAGAGAAGAAAAAUCAGUAGAAUAUAUUUACCUAACCAUGAAUAAGGAAGUAUGUUGAGUAAAAGAAGAGUAAUGCAAAAGUGUGANNNNNNNNNNNNNNNNNNNNNNNNNNNNNNNNNNNNNNNNNNNGUAUGUGUAGUUAAUGGGGUAGUGAAAAAGACUCUUUCUGAAAUUAUUUUUAUCUCUUUAAAGUAAUUUUGAAAUUUUAAUAUUAGUGCUAUAGAAAAUCAUAUAAAGUCAUAAGCCACUGCAAGUUUUUAUAGUAAUUAUCUUAUUAAAUUAUAUACCUAUUAUUUAUUUUUAAUUAUUUAUAAUCAUUCCGAAAAUGUAUAAAUUAAUUUUGAAAAGCUUGUAAAAUGAGAAAUUAUUAUUUCUUAUCAUUAUUUUAGCUAUUAUUAACAUUUAGUAUGACAACAUUUUAAAAAAGCACCUUCCUUUAAAUAUUAAUUGUUUCUUAAUUAACGUAGCCAAGAAUUUAAAUUGUUGUGACGUUUUGUUUAUCUAAACACGCAGAAUUUUGUUUUUGAACCUGGAACAUGUAAUUAAGCCUUGGGUGAAUUAUAAUUUUAUUUUUACUAUUUAAUUAAUUAAAUAAUUUAUAACAUUUUAAUAUAAUGAAGGGGUAAAAUGGUAAUUCAACUUUAAAGGUUGGAGCUUCCCACUUUUAGUAAUAUAUAUGAUAAAUUGGUCAGUAGUAGAACCUAGUUUAAUUUGAUACGGAGUUAAAGAAAAUAAACAUGACUUUUCAAUCUUGUGGUCUUAAAUUAAAGUUAUGUUAAAUAUACCAAAAUGGUUUUUAAUCUUAUGACUUUAAACAUGUCACGUAAAAAGCUGAAAUUAAAGUGUUGCCAAAAAAAGAAGGGUCAUUUUUUUUAAACAGACUAAACAGAAAAGUAGAUCAUUCUUUUUAAAACGGAAGGGAAGUAAUUGUUAAUGCAAGAGGAAGCUGCUUGAGAAGUUACGUAUAUGAUGUUGAAGUUGUCAAACAUGCAAUGCUGGUCCUAUAAUCUUUCAUUAUUUAUUAUCCAUGACUAUGGGUGGAUAAUAAUAGUUAUCUGCUAUGAUCAUAUAUACCUAGGGGUGGACAUAUUACUUAGAAAACUUAUGUUAGGUAAUUUUGAUUUCUAAAAAUACUAUAUGGUGUAUGCUAUUUGCAGAUGAUAGUCCUAAUCGACCAGACUCGUAAUAGAGUUAAUGUUAAGCUAGAGAAGAUAAUAAUGGCUCCUUUCUCAAAUAUUUCAUUGGUAGAAAUUUGUCUUCCAGAAUUUCAUAAUUGCAUCUGGUCCUUUCUGAUAACUCACAGGGCUUCUUAAAUUGGUGCGGAAGUUUAAUUUUGACAUGGAACGCAAAUAUAUGCUGAAAAUUAGUAAUUCAAUAAAUAUUUAAUUUUGAAUGCAUAUUACAAAAGUGCAAGGAAUUCAAUUGUAAGAUGUUGAAGGUUAAACCCAUAAAUUCUAUAUACUAAAGACGCCUCUUAAUGCAAAUAUAAUAUGGUUUAACUAUUUUAAACCUGGCUUAUCUCUCUUAAGUUAUCCCUGUAAUGUUUUCAUGAACUGGAGUUCCAGGUUCUGUUGUAGAGAACCCUUCAAGUGCAGGGGAUGCUCCUAAGCCGUCGGAAAUUCUGAUUUCUGGGCUUUGCAAAGGAAGGUGGGGCAAUAUUUCAGUAGAAGCUUCACUUUCUGCAAACAGUGUAGCUGUUUGGAUUUCAUUGCCUUCAGAUGGCUCUUCUGACAUAGAAUUAGAGUUGUCUCUCUCUUUAUCAAAGGCAUUUGCUAUUGCAGAAAGCUUUUGCCAUACUGAAUCAUCAGUGGCUAAGAUUUCUCUAUUCUGAUAAAGGAAGAUGAGGAAGAAUAGGAGAAGAGCGGAGCCUGCUGAUACACCAGCUAUGAGGAAAAGGCCCAUAAAACUAUCUAGUGUGAGGCUAGAUGCUAUAGCCAUUCCAUCUUGCUUUGGACAAUCUGUUUCAUUCCCAAACCAUUUCUGUAUUAUGUUAUUCAUAAACUCUCCUUCCAUCACCUGCAAGACUGCUCUUGAGACGUCAGGUACCAAAGGAGAUCCUUUUGGAAAUGCCUGCAACAAGUUGUGGGAAAAUUAAAGAUUAGAUCAUUGAGUAAACCACUAACCACUCUAAANNNNNNNNNNNNNNNNNNNNNNNNNNNNNNNNNNNNNNNNNNNNNNNNNNNNNNNNNNNNNNNNNNNNNNNNNNNNNNNNNNNNNNNNNNNNNNNNNNNNNNNNNNNNNNNNNNNNNNNNNNNNNNNNNNNNNNNNNNNNNNNNNNNNNNNNNAGAUCAUUGAGGUCAGUUAUAGAAGGUUGGAGCUGUUGCACUGUCAACAUAGAUGUUAAGUUGGCUGUAUAACUUGAUGUCAGCACCAGAACCACGAAAACCCACACAAUCAGCACAAAUCUUGUUAAGUUACUAGUAACCCUCUCUCCUGAAACAACCAGCCAUAUAUAUGAUUUGUUGAGAAACAAGGAUAAAUCCUAAAGCUUUUUGUAUAUAAUUUGCUUUGUGUUAGAGACUUACUAUGAGCAAAAACGAGAGUUGAGAAGGAAAACCAGAAUAUCAUCCCAACUUGCUUGUGUUUGGGUCCUCGAAACUCUUUGUUUACACGAUGUUCAAGUACCCAAACCACAAAACCAAUGAAGAUGAAGAAUCCUCCUGUUGUUAUCCAAAGCUCGCUCUUUAGAGGUUUCAAGAAAAUCCAAGCAUUCUUUCUAUCAUCAUUCUUUACCGACACAACAGCAGAAAUACCGGACUCUGAAAAAGGUAAUGUGAAAUCCACAUACUUGGCUCGGCUCGCUAAAAUGGUCACAUCACCUACAACUGCAUCAUAUUCCUGGUUCAAGCAAACAACGAUUAUUUUAGUAUUUAUGGUUGAUCUCAGUCAAAGAAGAAAGUAGAUAUGGAAGUCCCGGAAAGGAGCAUGUAAGGUAUUCAGCCAAAAAGGUUAAUUCAAAAAAGAAUUGGAUAUUACCUUUGAGGAGAUCUUGUAAACAAGAUCAUCAUAGUCUUGAGAAGUGGGGCUAUCUAUUGGAAAUGGAAUAAAUUCGUAAGGGAUGGCGUAUGGCAAAGAUUGGAUAACUUCUUUGAAGACAUCUGGAAUGAAACCAGUUGCAGUUACUGCUUGUGUUUUGGCAUCUAUUUCCACUUUAAUGAAUUGCUCCAGCCCUCCUUUGACAGGAACUCCAACCCUCAACUUCUUCCCACUUGUGGGUAUUUCCCAGCCUCUCGGAACAAUAAUAGAUUCACCAGGCCAAAUGAUGGCCGCUAGUUGCUCAUUCAUACUCUUAGCUGUUUUACUAUUCAUCUUCAGUUUAUGCGAAAUGCCAUCCUUCUCUGUCCAGAAUCCAACGCUUCUCUCUCCUUUCCCAAUUAUAUUCACAAUCUCAUAUGUGUAUAGCUGCAAUUCUCCAUCAAUGAUACGGAAUUCACCACUUAGUCCUUUUUUUGGCGUUGUAUUUCGCAUAGAGUCGAGGAGCAGAGAUCCAAAUUCUGAGGUUCCAAGUGCAUCUAAGUCCGUUAAAUUCUCUCUAGUGUCUGCUUUCUUGAAUUUUGGGAUGAUGGUAGUGCCCACUUUUGCUAUUGCUUUUGUUAAUGCGGUGAUGCUAUCAUAUGCCCAUAGCCCGUAAACAUUGAGUUCAACUGGGUCCAUGUCUGGAUACUCUUGACGGAAUCUCUUUCUCCAUCUCCUCGUGUAAUUGUUAAGCUCAUUUGAUCUUGGAAUAUAAGGUUUUAUACCAAGAACACCUUGCAUUGAUGACUCAAUGACUGAAUGAUCUACCGAGUCCAGAAGACUUGUUAGCACAUCUGUGAUGAUCCAUGCAUAUCCACUGCUCAUCAUCCCGGCUUCUUUGGCCUUGAGAAAAAGGCGUGAGGCAAGAUAUGGUUGCAAGUGCACGAUGAAUACCCUGGUCUGCUUUGUGUUCAAAUUGUAUAACUCCUUGAGGAUUUCAUCAUCAUUGGCUGAAAGAGAAAUAACACUUCUAUAGGAGACUAAAGUGUUGAUUUCCAGUAAAGCAUCAGUCAGAUGUGGAACUAUCCCAGUUCCAUAGGAGCUAUCCUCGUAGAUGAUCACAACCUGCCUCCAAUCAUAGUUUCUAACAAUGGCUGCAAUGGCUUUAGUCUGGCUGGAAGAAGGAAGUGCUCCUCUAAUGAAAAAGGGAUUUUCCUUGACUGAGAGUGAAGGACUUGUUGCUGGAGAAAUGAUAGGGACUUUUGUUCUGUUCCCUAUGUCAAUCACAAAAUCAGUUUGUGUAGACAUUUGUGGCCCAAAGAUAGCUUGCACUUGGACAUCCUUUAGCAAGUAUAUGGCUGCAUAUACACAAUCAGAUUGUAAGAAGUUAUCUGAAAAUCCCUAUUAAAAUAGGAUAACCAAUAUCUUAGAGAAAAGAGAGUAUCUUAUGCAAAUAGUGCAUGAAUGACCAACUACCAGAAUAUGUCUGACUCGUGAAGCAAAGAGAGUAAGACAUGUUAGUUUAACACAACUAAAUCAUGGAGCUAAAUUUACCAGCAGAUGCUGCUUCAACAUCAUCUCUCUUGGAAUCCCUGAAAUGAGGAACUAUCUUAAUGGCACCGCGACUAGCGUUGGCAUGGUAAUCUGCCAGGGCUAGUAAGAUAGAUAUGUUCAUUACUUUUCCCACAUUUGUUUCCAGAUCAAGAAUUAUGCCCACAUCCACCUCUAUAGCACUAGUUUUAUUAUCUUCACCUCUUAUUUGCCUUGCGUAGUGGCAAAAGCUAAUGAUGGAAACAAGUUGAAUGAAAAGAAUUAGAAAGCUGCAUCUUGGAUUUUGCAUUUGAAAAACUCUGGCAGAAAGUAGUCUGAGAGUUGGGCAAGAAGCAGUAAUCACCUUAAAGAGAAGUGUCUAAAGCUCUCUUAACUGUGUUGCUCUAGAUAUAUGGUAUCAGGGAGCUUCAUAAACUUCUACCAGUAAAUACCUUAGCUAUGAUUGUAGAAACAAAAGUCAAAGAUAAAGUUUUCAAAGAACAAAUAGUUGAAAAUAUGCUGUUUGGUUAUUGAGAGAGAAGACUUAGGAGCUACAACAAGUUAGUAAAGCUUCCUCCUAAGUUUGACCAAAUUAAAAACUGACUAAAUGAACUCAGCGACAAAAUUGAUUUGGUUGACUCAUUCCCCCAAUCGCUAAUUACUUUUUAUUCUAUUUAAUGCUGACUAUCUAGUAGGUGAAAUUUCAGAAACAGCUGAGCUUAGACUUGGUCAGUAGUAAUAGCUUGCACACCAAACAAGCAAACACGCCAACAUGCACCUCUCUGAUUGACCAAUACUCUAAGAUAGCAUCAUGUAUGAGAAUGAGGAUGCAAUUAGAUGUCGGCUUAAGUCAUCUACAGACCCUUAAAGUUGUCCACAAAAUUCAUUUAGACACCUUAAUAUACCUCUUUUCCCAUUAGACACUCCAACCUUAAAAAAUAAAUACCUAUCAAACAUUUUUCUAAGGCCGGAUCAAAAGAAGAAGUGCGUGUAAUACACUUGCAACUGAUGUGGCAAAAUAACAAAUCAAAGAAAGACAUGUGGCAUUUAAAUUUAAAAUAAUUGUAUAAAUGAAUUUUGAAAAAAGAAGAAGCUAAAACUAAAAAGCAAAGAAUUUCAACUAAAAAAAUAUGAAAAAUCCCCACCCUCACACCCACCCUGCACCCGACACCACCUCAAACCUUCCUUUCUCUCUCACUAAAUCACCUCUUGUCCACCAUGCACCAUUGUUAUUUUCUAAAUGGAGAUUUUAACAUAACUAAGUAUGAAUUUAUUUUCUUCUUUUUUCUCUUAAUGUUUUCUCUUUUGUUCCUAUUUCAAAAUCGAUAGUAGUAUUUUUUUUUUCUUAAAAAAAAUAAAAUUUGUUCAUUCUCUUUUUGUUUUGAUUUCAAAUUUACUUUCUGUUUUUGUUUCGUUACGAAGAAAGAAGGGGUGUCGAUCGAAGAUAGUGUGUGUGGCCUCCAUAUUUUCAUAUACCUCUUUUCCUAUUAGACACUCCAACCUUAAAAAAUAAAUACCUAUCAAACAUUUUUCUAAGGCCGGAUCAAAAGAAGAAGUGCGUGUAAUACACUUGCAACUGAUGUGGCAAAAUAACAAAUCAAAGAAAGACAUGUGGCAUUUAAAUUUAAAAUAAUUGUAUAAAUGAAUUUUGAAAAAAGAAGAAGCUAAAACUAAAAAGAAAAGAAUUUCAACUAAAAAAAAAUGAAAAAUCCCCACCCUGCACCCGACACCACCUCAAACCUUUCCUUUUCUUCUCUCACUAAAAUCACCUCUUGUCCACCAUUGUUAUUUUCUAAAUGGAGAUUUUAACAUAACUAAGUAUGAAUUUAUUUUCUUCUUUUUUCUCUUAAUGUUUUCUCUUUUGUUCCUAUUUCAAAAUCGAUAGUAGUAUUUUUUUUUUCUUAAAAAAAAUAAAAUUUGUUCAUUCUCUUUUUGUUUUGAUUUCAAAUUUACUUUCUGUUUUUGUUUCGUUACGAAGAAAGAAGGGGUGUCGAUCGAAGAUAGUGUGUGUGGCCUCCAUAUUUUCCGGAAUGGUGAUCUCCAUUUUUUCCGACAAAAAAACUUAGAUUAUGUUUUUCAUUUUUUCUAACAAAGGAAUUGAGGGUAGUUGACUCCAUUUUUUAUUAAAUUUAAGCAUAAGCUUAGAAGAAGUAAAUUUAUAAAAAAAAUGUAAGGUGGUAGAUUUUGUUGCUAUGAAUAAUUUGUGGCAGCAGGUCUGCAAUUUUGAAAGAGAAAGAAGAAAGAAAGAUUGUUAUUUCUUUUUUAAAAAAAAAUGAGAAACAAAAAAAGAAAAACUAAAAGAUGUUGAUUAAAUGGUUCAAGCGCCUAACAAGGUGUGGGUUACACUUUUUGUGCCACGUGUGCACAAAGUGUCUAAAUGGUUCAAAUUCAGAAUAGUCAAGGUGUUCAAUAGGUACAAGCCUCAAUUGAGGUGUUUAAGUGAAUUAUGAGGACAACUUUAAGGGGCUGUCGAUGACUUAAGCCAUUAGAUGUCAGAAGUAAUUAACUUGGAUGGUUGGAUUUUGAGAGGAUUGUGUAUGUAACUGUCAAUGUCAUUGCCUUACUGUAAUUGUUAAUGCAAGAGGAAGCUGCUUGGAAACUUACCUAUGAAGUUGAAUUGAACAUAUUACUGUUCGUCUUCCAAGCAGUAGUGAUCCUAAAAACUUUCAUUAUAUUUGAUCCAUAACUAUGUUCUUUAUCUUUUUGAUGAAGGAUCCAUAACUAUAGUCUCUGUCUGCUGUUGAUAAUCUUAUCUGCUAAGCACCUGCAUUAUAAGUUCAGUACUAUUAAUUAUCUGUAGGCAUCUUAUGUGCUAAUUUCCUUUUUUGUUCUAUUUUGUAACAUAACAAAGAUACUACUUCGUUUGAGUUUCUUAACAAUGGAUGCAUGCAUUGAAUUCUUUCAUGCCACAGAACUCCGUUAAAUCAUAGCCCCUACAUAGAUGGUGAUGGCAAAAACAAAAACAACAAUAAAAUUUGAAAAGCAAAAACAAAAAGAAAACAAAUACUUCUAACAUGUACAUUUUUUUUUCUCAAUCAAUAUUUUUGGUUUGUGCAAACAUUAUCUGCUGAUAUUGAAUGAAAAUUGAUACAGUUAUAUAUGAUCUUAUAAAAUAUGAUACUUUGUUCAAUUUGUUUGUCUAGUUUUAACUUGGCACUGUGGUCUUGAAUUAACGACAUGUCAAAUGUACCAAAAUGUGACAUAAAAAAUUUGAAUUAAGGAGUUGCAAACAAAUGAAAGAGGCAUUCUUUUUUUAAACGAGCUAAAAGAAAAGUAGGGCCAAACAAAUUGAAAUUUUUAGAGAUGAUGGGAUUAGAACAUUAUUGUUACCAAUUUACAUCCCUAAUUCUGCGGAAAACAGAGGAGAGAAGAAAAUACAUACCAGAGUUUCUCCCAGUAUCACUAAAUCCAUCAUACCGCCGCCUCUUCCUUAUUCACGGCGGCACCACCCUCUUCCUCUGAGCAGCGGAACCAUGGUGAAUUUUCCCCUUCUUCCGGGCACCGACUUCGGAAGUUCCGUGUACAAGGUCCAACAAAGGCCCACCGGUGAACUUUACACUGCGUUCGCAUCCCGAGGAAUUCAAAUUCUCCUGGAUAUUGAUAACCCUAACGUCCUCAGAUGUCACGACAUGCUCGACUAUCCUUUGUGAUCGAUAUAACCCGCCGCCAAGCCAGAUUCUUUCGGGGCUCUUGUACCUCCCUCCGGCCUCCACCACAGCCGCAACAUUUUGCAUAGAGAUAUCAAACCUGUUAAUCAACUCUAAGCGGGAAGUGAAAAAUUGCGGAUUUUUAUGGAGCAAAAGAUGGAUUUGUCUGUCAGUAAAACGGAUCAGUUACAUCAUGAGUCCCGCGAGAAUCAACACAGAUCUGAAUAAAAAUCAGCAGAAAGUAUAUGGAUAUAUGGUGAUUCAAUCCGAAUUUCAUCAAAAAAUUUAUACAAGAUGUCCAGAUAAUGAGUUUGUAGAUUUGUCGUCAGUCACUACUCACUAUCUUCGAGGCUUGGAAGGUGCAUGGAACAAAGACAUAAAGCGGAAAAUGUGUUAAAAGUGGGAGAAUAAGAAUUCACGUGGAAGACUAUUCAAAAUAGGAAAGGAUAUAAUUGCAAAAUGACUAUUCUUGAAAUACGAGUACUAGGAGUUUUGACAUUCAAUUUCGUAUGCAAUAUAAAAUUACAUGUCAUAAUAUUAUAUAUAUAAGUCAUUUGUAUAAUAGGAUAUAUAUAAAUUACUUUCAUAAUAAUUAUAUAAAUUUUAAAUAGCAAAGUAGAAGGAUAUAUCAAGUCAUUUUUCCUUUGUAUCAAUGUUACUAACCAUUUACUUUAGGUUGUCAUUUGUCAACUUUCAUAGAUGGUAUAAAAGUUUUUACACUAUCAAAUUACCUCUACUCAUAUAUCAAAUUAUAAUUUCUCUUCUUUUUUAUCUCCAAAUGGUUUACAUCAUAUUCGUGCAAAUUAUGGUGUAAUUUAGUUUUAACUUGGUACAAUUUUUAAUUUUUUUUUUUUGAAUUUUGUGAUUAUAAACAAAGACAAAUAAAAUAUAUAUAUAUAUAUAUAUAUAUAUAUUAAAAUUGUCAUUUAAUUUUAGGAUCUUAAAUAUAUUACUGUCAAAACUGCAGAUUUAGAAUCAAAAAGUUUCUAAAAUGAAAAACAACACAAAUAAAUUGAAACAAAGAAAUAAAUACAACAAGUUAAAUUCCGAAAUAAACCCACACCCCACCUUAUGGGGCAACCCGAUACCCGUAACUCUCUCCCUCCCUCACAUUUCCAUUUUCAGCUAUCACUCCUUCUUCCCUCCUCACCCCGCACCAAAUUUAUCGUGCAUGCCAAUUUAUCAACGUUAACCUAUUAACUCCAUUUUUCUUCUGCAUUUUUUAUUAUAUAUAAAUUUCCAGUUCCUAUUAACUAUUCCGAUCCGCCAUUAAUCUAAUUCUUCAGUCAGCUUUACUGACCAUAUAUUUAUAGAUCAUCCAUCGGUAUCAUUGAUCAUAUACAAGAAGAUUUGCAGAUCGUCCUUUUCUUUCUCCUAUUAAUUUGUCAAGAGGAUUACUCUCUCUUUUUUCUGAUAAAGCCUUGAUUUUUUUUCGAGUUCAGAGACAUAGACGAAUUUAGAAUUUAAAUUUGAUGGAUCAACCUUUUAAGUUAUGACUAUUGAAUCCAUCUGAUCACAUUAUGAGUUCGAAAUUUAAUGUUACAGUACUAUUUGAUAAAAUUCCGUAUUAAAAUAUUGGGUUCAAUUGAACGCGAAGAAGGUGGGGGCAGGAUGAGCUUGGUGGUAAAGGUGGCCCUACUCUUCUUCAUUUUGCAUGGCUGCAGCUUCAUCAAUGCAGACACAGAUCCAUCCGACGGUCAGCUUAAUUCUACUGCUACGUAGCUUAAUUAUAAAGAAAUUAAUAUAUUCACGGCACUUAUGAUUAAUUUGGAAGUUACUAACAAAGUUUCUCUGUAAAUAAGAAAGAAUUUCGUUGUCAACUUAUAAUGUGAGCGUGGAUCACUUGGUGAACAACUUUUUUUUGUCUGGUGUUCGAUAUCUUGCUUUAUUGGCUUGCACUAAAUCGAAUUUGUCUAUCCUAAAACUCGUUAGAGUCCUAUCUGUAAUUUUUCAUUCUCAAAACUCAAACCUGAGACUUUUUAUAGCUAAGCUAGGUUGCUAAUUUUCACUAAAAAGCCGGACGAUAAGCCAAAGAGUUCACAACAUGCAAAAAAAAAAGAGUUAUAAAAUUUAGUAACAAAAUAGUGGAAUUCGAUUUAUAUAUUUUUGGAGCUGUUCUUAGUCUCUGUGUGUAUAUUUAUAUGUUCUCAAUAAUUUCGUUGGUGGCGUGCAACUUUGGUUAUCAGGUUCUGCCCUGAGAGUGAUGUAUAGCUCCCUAAAUUCACCGGGGCAGCUUACAAAAUGGAGCUCAUCAGACGGUGGUGAUCCUUGUGGAGAAUCCUGGAAAGGCAUUACUUGCUCGGGCAAUAGAGUAACUGAAAUGUAAUUAUGUUCUCUUCGCCAUCCUCCUAUAGUUUUUCGAUAUACACUUUAUUUUUGGUAACUUCUCGUUAGUUAAUUGAUUUGGCAAUUGCUGAUUUUCAGUUUUCGUUUCAUUUUCCUUCAGCCAGAUAUCCGGUUUAGGACUAUCCGGAUCAAUGGGAUACCAACUAAUGAGUUUAACAUCCGUAACCAACUUGUAAGAUGAUCAAUGGUUUCAAUUACUAUUUCCUUACUUCGUUCUGUUAUUUGUAUUUACAUCGUAAAAUGUUGUAAUUUGCAGUGACAUAAGCAACAAUAAUCUCGGAAACCAGAUACCUUACCAGCUUCCUCCAAAUGUAAAGAGACUGUAUGUGUUUUUAUGCCUAAUUUCUUCUUUCUUUGCUCAAUUCCAGGCUCUAGUGUUUUUUACAAAGUUGCUUACAAAAUCUUUCUGUCAUUUGCCUCGUAUUGCAGUAACCUUGCUGGUAAUGGUUUUACCGGUGUCCUACCUUAUUCCGUUUCACAAAUAACUUCCCUUCAAUACUUGUAAGUGAAUUUUUAAAAUUAAAUUUACAUGUAUAGUAUUAUUACACUCGUUGUUCUGAUUUUCUCUCCGUUGUAUGUGCCUGAUUGUAGAAAUGUCAGUCAUAAUCAAAUUCAAGGAGAACUAAAUGACAUGUUUGGAUCACUUUCUUCUCUCAACACAUUGUAAGGCCUUGUCUCGAUUUCUUCCUUUUCUUAUACAGAUUGAUAUUACCCUGUGAUGAUUGAGAUUUUCAAUGUAUCUUGUGCUAUUCUCGAUAGAUAAAUAUAGUAUCUCUUCUGUUUAUCAUGUGAACUGUUCUCACGGAGUGAAAGUAUCUUUUCUUCUUCUUGGUUGAUUAUAUUAUGUUAUAUCCCGUGUUUCUUACUUUGAUUGUUUACAUUUAUGCUUCAGAGAUAUCUCUUUCAAUUCAAUGACCGGUAAACUUCCUCAAAGCUUUAAGUCACUGACUAGCAUGAAGAAAAUGUAAGACGCGUAUCUUCUGAUUCAUUAUUGUACUGUAUUGGUCCAGUGUCAUUGAACUUUCUAGUAUUGUUAUGUUGUGCAGCUACCUGCAGAACAACCAGUUCACUGGAAAUAUUGAUGUCCUCGCCAAUCUUCCUCUUGACGAUCUGUGAGUUAUGCAACAUCUUUGUGUGUGUGUGAAUGUUAUCGAUCUCUGAAUGUUCCAUUUCAAGGCUUUCGCAGUUACUAUAUUGUUGAUUCCUUUAUGCUUUAGGAAUAUUGAAAACAAUCAGUUUACUGGUGGGAUUCCAGAGAAGUUUAAAGGGAUAAUGCAGUGAGUGUUUCAGUCUGCAAAUUAUUUUUCAUCCUUGAAUAUUUGUAGAAAAUAACUUUCUAACUGAAUUCGCGAUUUGUGAUACAAUUGUAGAAACUCUAACAGUAACACAGGGAGCUCAGGGCCUGCAGCCCCUGCGAACAAGUCCACUCAAAGUCACAAAUCAGGAGGCAAUGGCAAUUCUUCAAGCGGUGGAGGUAAAAGUGAUAGUGGUGAGAAAUCUGGUAUCGGUGGUGGAGGCGUUGCAGGCAUAGUUAUAUCAGUUUCAGUGGUUGGAGCAGUUGCAGUAAUCUGUAUUAUCAAGAAAAGACGCAGGAAGUCGUCAACAGACAUAGAAAAACUUGACGUUCAGCCAUUUGUUCCUGAGUCACAUGAAGUACAAGGUAUAUAAUUUUAUGACUUCUUUUUUGGGUCAAUUGAGAACAUAGCUGGUUAGUUUGACUGAUACUUCAAUAUCUCAACAUUUAUACACUCUUAUGGUGGAUAGGAUCCUUUUCUUGCCAUGUUAUCUAAUUUGAAUAUAGAGUUGAAUUUAUUGUGGUACACAAAGGGGAGCCCUGGCGUAACUAGUAAAGUUACUUCCAUGUGACUAGGUUCGAGCUGUGGAAACAUCCUCUUGCAGAAAUGCAGGGUAAGGUUGCAUACAAUAGACCAUUAUGGUCCGACCCUUCCUCGUAUCCCACAUAUAGCGGGAGCUGCACCAGGCUGUCCUAUUGCAAAUGUAGUUGUCUUUAUAUAAACACACUUUUAACUCUGGAUGCAAGUUCCAGCAAAGAUACUGAAUCACCUUAGGUGAAUUUUGGAAAAUUAGUUUUCCUUUUGAACUCGUCGUCCUUCAUUUCAUGUUCAAGUGAGCAUGUCUAUAAUGAUGAAUUAUCUUUCCCUUUUGCAGCUUCAUUUGUAACCUGGUAUUUCAUACAUCUUAAGCCUUACCUCAAUUGUUUUAAGUUCUGUAGCAUCAUUCCAUCAGAGUUCCAGCUAAUAUUUUCCCUUUUCUGGUUACUAGUAUUAUUGAUUUUUAAUCAUGUGUUAGUUUUGGAACCUAUAUUUUUCUAUUCAUCACCUAUUUUGGCUGCAGAUACGAAACUCAGUCAAGCUCCGUCCACAAUAAGCAUGGAAGCUACUGAAACUCCCACUAUAGUAUCUCUAAGACCUCCACCUAUUUAUACUCAUAAAUCCAUUGGUGGAGAUGACAUUUCAGAAAAACUCAUUGUUCCACAGAAGAAAACUCGUACAGCUGAAAGAAAAGUUGUGCAAUUUUCAAUUGAAGACGUACAGAUAGCUACUGACAGCUUCAGUGUAGAAAACCUUAUUGGUGACGGAUCUAUUGGAAGUGUAUAUCGAGCUCACUUUGACAAUGGCAAAGUAAUAUCUAUUAGUUCUGUUUGUCGUUUAACUGUUUCUUGUUGCAGCUAACAUUACCUAUGCUGAUGUAAGUGAUUCUGAUCGUUUAAGUUCCUAUUCCAUAGGUUCUCGCUGUCAAGAAACUUUAUUCAUCUGAGCUCCGGAAUCCUGAAGAUUUUCUAAAGAUGAUUCCUGAAAUAUCCCAGCUGGAUCAUCCAAAUGUAACAGACCUAAUUGGUUAUUGCUCAGAAGAUGAGCAGCACCUGCUAGUUUAUGAAUUCCACAGAAAUGGUUCUCUGCAUGAUUUCCUGCAUCGGAUGGAUGAAGACAACUCGCCACUAGCGUGGGAUAGCAGAGUUCAGAUUGCACUUGGCACAGCAAGAGCACUAGAGUGAGUUUCAUAAUUUACAAAAUUACUUUCAUUAGGCAUCACAUAAGAUUAAUGCAGCUUGGAGAAAACUUUUGUUUGCUUGGUUUCAGAUAUUUUUUUAUGGUAAACUACCCUAUCUAUCAUAAAUCUUCUAGUUUUCCUUAAAACAUUGAUGAUAGUAAGCAUGUAGAAGUGUUUCAAUAAUAUUUCGAAUAGAAAAGCAAUUAUAUUGUUUUAAGUUGUAGAACACCGCGUAUGCUGGCUUUCCACUAGAUCUAAUCAGAAUAAAUUUUCUAUUUUGGCCGCGACCUCUCCAAUUCUUAUGAGUAGGUUUAUUCUAGUAGCUAAAUCUAAGCUUCCUUUAAUUU
rnacentral:lncRNA from 1 species